rnacentral:lncRNA from 1 species
GUCAAAUUGGCGCCCCCCCCGCUGCUGUAGGCGCCCCUGCUUGCUCCGAAGGUGCUGCACAGAGGCUGACAGACUGUAUGAGACGAGGCGGGGAGAGAGUCGCGAGGGGACAGCUCUGCUCUGUGUACGCAUGUCAGCAUAUCAGCGGGAGCGCGGAUACGUCAUUUUGUAGUUUUUUAAUCAUUUCUGGAGUCGCGGUGAAUGAAAUCACCGUACCCGUCUGCCUUUGAUAGGCGAAUAAAGCGCUCGGGUUCAUGCUCGGAUCUUGCUAUGUGCUCGAUGAGCUUCAUGAGUUAAGUAAACAAUGACUGAGGCAGAGAGCAGCUUCAGAGGAGAAACAUCCAGCAGUGUGAACAACUUCUUCAGUGCUUUGGCUCACACUAUCAGCGUUUUCUCUGAGUGUUGCAUGACUUUGGGUGAGAACAGAGAUGAACAUACUGUCAGCCACGUAUUUAUUUAUUCAUUUUUUAGUUUUUAGUUCUGCUUUUGUACUGGCACUAUACUGGGGCAGCUGUAUACCCUUUCAACACCUUAUUUUCUAUAUUUACAUUUGUAUUGAAUGGACACUUUAUCAUGACUGCCACUUGUUUUACAGAAAGCAAAUUAUUUGUCAUUCUCCAGUGCAGAGCCUUUACUUUUAUUUAUACAGCCGCUUUAUUUCAUUUGAGUUUGUUUGUUCAAGGUUUUCAAAAAUGUGAUGAAGGUUCGCAAAACAAAAAGAUAGCUUUCUUGAAAGCCACAUGUAUAAGCUCUCAAAUACUUUUUGAAUUUUGUUGCUAUCUACUACAGAGGCCGAAAUAGCAGCUUUUUUGUAAACCUUAACACGUCAGAAAACCUCAGGAUCUGGGGGCCCUUCUCUAAAUGGCCCUCAGGAAGGAUUGAAGGAUUUCUGCAAUUGAGAAAUAUAUUAUUUUUGUUGUUAUAAUCAUAAUAAUACUACAUAAUAAUACAAAACUAUCUGUUCAAAAUUCUAUCUCUUUGUGUGUGUGUGUGUGUGUGUGUGUGUGUGUGUGGGGGGGGGGGGGGGGGGGGCACUUGGAGGGGUGCUCGCCCGGGGAGUAAUUUGGUCUAGAACCGCCACUGUCUAGAAGACAUCAAAGCCUGGAUGGCUUUGAAUUUUUUUUAUUUCAGUGCGAGAAAAACAGAUGUGGCACAUGUCCCAGUGGCCCUUGUGAAUCCCCUCCUGUAGACUUGGGUAUUUUAGCAGACUAUUUAAAGUCAACCGUCUCAAAUUUGGGUUUUAAGAUGGACAGUGAUUUUAAAUUUGACAAGCAAAUUAGCUCAGUUGUGAAAUCUAGCUUUUAUAAUAUUAGGUAGCUGGCGAAGGCAAAGCCAUUCCUUGCACGUAAGCACUUUGAAACAGUAAUCCAUGCCUUUGUUACAUCUCGGCUGGAGUACUGUAACACACUUUACUUUGGAGUCAACCAGUCCUCCCUCUCACGUCUCCAUUUAGUACAAAACGCAGCCGCCAGGCUCUUAACUGGAGUACGUAAUAGGGAGCACAUUACUCCCAUCCUGGCCUCCCUCCACUGGUUGCCCGUGCAUUUUAGAGUUCAUUUUAAGAUUCUUUUAUUUGUUUUUAAAUCUUUAAAUGGUCUGGCUCCAUCUUACCUCUCUGAGCUUCUCCACCCCUACACCCCUGCUCGGUGCCUCAGGUCAGCUGAUCAGCUGCUCCUGGAGGUACCAAGGUCCAAACUGAAGCUCAGAGGGGAUAGAUCUUUUUCUAUUGCGGCCCCAAAAUUAUGGAACGAGCUACCCCUCCAAAUUAGACAAGCCCCCACACUGUCCAUUUUUAAAACUCGUCUUAAAACCCAUUUUUAUUCAUUGGCUUUUAACCCUGCAUGAGACUCUGCUCCUGUUUUAUGUUUUGUUUUUAGUUAUUUGUCUCUAUGUUUUUAAAUUAGUUUUUAAAAACAUUGAAGCUAUAUUUUACUUUUUAAUUCUGCUUUUAUUUUAUCCAUUUUUUAAUUGUUUUUUUACGUCUGCGUUGUUUUGUCUAUUUAUGUACAGCACUUUGUUCAGCUGUGGUUGUUUUAAAGUGCUUUACAAAUAAAGUUGAGUUGAGCUGAGUUGAUUCUCUGCAAAAAGUCCCAAUCUAGCAUCUUCUUAGUCUUAAUCUCUGGAUGAAAAUGCUGUUCAGUCUUUUUCCACUGAAAAAUGAUGAAUGAGUUAUCAAUGCUGAUGCCAGUAUCAAUUUGAUCCAAUUCAUUAUCAAUUUCUGUGGAUUUCCUUUAUGUAAAAAGUCGGCCUGUACAUGAAAUUGUCCUACCUCACUGAAAUUAUUGUAAAUUUUUAUCAAUGGUGACAGAGUGCCACUGUUUCUGUUGGAUCAGAUCUGGAAAAAUCUCUGGAAAAAAAGGGCAGUCUCACAAAGUGAGUGAAUUUUACACUGAGGUGAAAAGUUGCUUUGUUAUAUUUUUAAAGCUGAUAUUAUAAACACAAUAAUAUUAUGUGGCUCUAAACAGCUUCUUGUACCACUCUUCCCUGCAUCUCGUUAUGUCCCCUGAUUGUUCUGCGGGGAAAAUUUUUGACAGCCAAUCAGUAAGCAUGGAGGGAAAUUAUGUUAUUAAUUUAAAACCUUUAAAACAGGGUCUGAUCUGGAACAGGUUUAAAUCCCAUCUCUCAAUUUGUGGUUUUAGUCUAGUUUUAGUGGAUAACAACCAUUUUAGUCUACAUUUGUGAAGUAGUGUCUCCGAUAGUAUACCAAUUAAUAUAAUUAUUAAUUGAUUAAUAUAAUUAUUAUAAGAUUGUAUCUAAUCUUAUUUGAAACAAACUCUAUAACUAAAUCCAAAAACACAAAUGGAGUUAACUUCUGAUGCAAAAACCUAUAUUUUGGAAUUUAUGUUUUUUUUUGUAACAAAAGUUGUAACUGGAAGUGGAACAUGCUGGCAUGAUCCAUGUUGUUCAUGUUGUUCUACAACCACUGCCCUGCCAUAAUGAGCCUAGACCACCUCUACUGUGAUGGGUGAGUGAUUCAGGGAGUUACUUUAAGACCAGCGCAUUCAACAGGAGACCAGAUCCUGAUUGAUUGUUUCCAUGGCAACUCUUUUUGGACAUGGUCCAACCUCCUGCAAAAUCUUCCCAUCUCAGGCAGAACUUUAUUGUAAAAAGAUGGAGGCAGAUGAGGCUCAUGCAGGACUUUCAAACGUUAUUGACUGAAUGCAUCUUGGAGUUAGAUAUUACGCUGAACAAUCAAAAACAUGUAUAUAUACACACAGCAAAAGUAUACACUUUUACCAUGGAGUUUUCAAGGGAUAGUUGUUUGUGCAUGUAUUGAUAUACUUCAAAAAGACCUUGCUCAUUCCUCUGUUCACAGAGGUUUUAAAACCUGCAACCAAAACAAAAACACCCUCCAGGUCCCUUUCUUAUAACAGUCAUCCAUAAGAAAGGCAAAGAUCCCAAAAUAAAAAUAUGCUCUUCCUUUGCACAGAGCUUAAAAGUAUUUCCAAAGUUUUGAGAAAUAGACUGAACAGGCUCCUCCACAAACUUAUCCAUAUUUUAAAGAAAAAAUUGUUUUUAAACACAAAGGGCUGAUAACUGCUGCAGAUUGUUCAACAUUAUUUAACAAAUACAAGAAAUGACUCCAGUAUCACGGUAUCAGUAGAUGCAGAAAAGGCUUGAAUUCAAUCUCAAGUCUUUAAUCUAAACAAAAUCUUAAUGAAUUCAGCUUCAGAGCCUUUUUCUGAUUUGUUUUCAUUUAAAGGAGAUCGAGUCAAAUUCUUUUUGCUGCUAACAAAUUGAGGGGUAGUAAUGUGGUUUCAGUUGCAACAACAGUAAGUUCAUUGGCUUCACAGCAGCAUUAUCAUUCAUGUCGGUCUUUAAAAACAAACAAACCAAAGAAGAGAAAGAAAGCUCCUGAAUGCUCCAUGUUCAGGGAAAAGGGAGUUUAAGCUGUGUUUUUGUGCAGGCCAGCAUCCAUCAAAGAAAGAAAAUCAGUCUGGGACUCUCAGACAUAGCUGUCACGUAUCCUGUUUGGGGCAGGAAACGACUGUAUUUUACCCCUCUUUCCCACUGUCUUCCAGUAUCAAUAUUCUCUGUCAAUCUCCCGUAUUAUAAAAUAUUUAAAUAAUAAUACUUUGCCUCUCCAAACUGAACUUGAUCACCAACUUGUAGUAGUGAGUUGUCGUCUGUGAUUGCGCAGAAAAGAGGGUAUAGGAAAUUUAUUUUGUAAUUCAAAACUUGACAGUUAUGCUCUGAGGUAUUUUCAUUUUCAUGUUGAAAUGCCAAAAGCAAUUAAGAUGUGUUAAAAAUAAGGUGAGUAACAGCCAAAGUGACUCGGUGUGUAGCUCACUUUCUCAUUCUUCCUUCUGAUUAACACGCCACAUAAAUGUUAACACUUGAUGAGAAAUGCUUUCACCUUGUAACACGUUUAAAGAAUGAAAUAAACUAAGACAAGCAAAAAAAUGUAACUCAGUUAUUGGAAACAGAACAUCAACAAGAAAAGGACUUCAAGUUAUUUAACAGCCAAAUGACUCAAGUAAAUAAAGAUGAGUGCUUCUUCCAAAGUCAAGCUGUCAUAAACUGAGAGCUAAAUCUCUGGAGUGGUGAGUAAAGGUAUCUGAAAGAGAGAGGUGAGAAACAGAAUUCAAGUCCAGUUUGUGUCCUGGAUGGUUAUGUGACACUUCCUGCAUGAAGGCCUCAGAUGUAGCUAUAAUAGUUAUGAUAGUUUAUCCUGCCACUCUGGCUCCGCUGCACACUUAUUGUCUUGAUUCACAGGGCUCUAUUUUCGUGUAUGCCGGUGAGGCGGCGGAGGGUGGCGGACCCUGCGCAGUUGUAUUUUUGACCGGUGGAGCCCGGCGUACAGCCAGUUUGGUAUUUUCAUGGACUGAGGCGCACCGAGAUCCGCGAAGCUGGACAUGGCAGGGGGAGGUGUCGACAGAAUCAGCAGGCGCAGUGACAUUUUCAUGCUCGCCACCGUCAUAUAAAGUGCGCUGACAGCUCGCCAAUUCAAACCUGGUCAGCUUUCAGCGCAGGCGAAACACAGCUGGUCUAGAGGUAUUUUGGUAGACCGGCGGCGUAUCGGCAUACGUCACCGAUGCCUCACCAGCAGGUUUACACGGUAUCAGACACAUUUCAGUGCAAUAAAUAAACAACAACAACUAAUAAUCUGAGUCAGCACAUACAUUUAGAUCCACAUAGAUAUAUUCUGAUCCAUAUCUGAUCUGAUGAGCGCAUUUGGCACGCAUUUGGACACACAACCUGACCGAAUUAACACAGCUGAAACCGCAUUAAAUUAAAUUAAAUACCUAGUAAAUAGACACACAUGAUGAAGUGAACAAGAUAUGUAAUUCGUCUCCCUCCCUUUCUUUCUUAUGCUUCCUCUUAUUUCUUGCCCAGCUCGACCUGGACAUGUCUCUGUGUCCUCUUCCCGUCCUGCUGCUGCUGCGGCAGCUGAACAGAUGAUUUGUUUCAGUGAUCAGAUGAGUCAUUUACUUUAAGACUACAUACUAAUAUUUUUGUGAGCCAAAUUUAUUUUAUAUGCCAACAUCUAUGAAAGAAAGAGCCAGGCCACGGAGCGCGAUGCGUAAUUUACGCACAGAUGGCUCAGAUUUUAAUGCCAUUUUUGGAAUUUAUGAUGUGAUCUGUGCGCACAACCCACCUUUGUCACGUGAGGUUUGAAUAUGUGCAACAUUAUGUGAGUGUCUUUAUUUGUGGAAAAGGGUGUUUGUCUUACUAGUGGGUCCAAACUUACACACACCAAAUCUAUCUGUGCUCAUAUGAGAGAGUGUGCAGGACACCCGCUGCAGUGCUUACAGUGACACUUGUUGAGGGGCUGCCUUCUGUCGCCAUCGUGUGGCAUUACUGUCUUCAGGCAUCAUCUCUUUGAAUACUUAACGAAAAUAGUAAUACACCUCGCCGGUGGUGGAUUUAAAGGUGAGGAGAGGAGCUUAUGUGAUUGGUGAAAACAGGUCUCGGCUGUGUUAAACCCACUCCACGCCCUCUCUCCUCCCUCUACGAUUUACGCCGCUGGGAGGAGCUGAGUUAGGGAGGGGGGAUACUUACACCGGGCUGCGCCGCUCACCAAAAUACCAAAUUGUGCUUGGGAACGCCUUGACGGCGCGGCGGACCUGACUUACGCCGCGCAUGCACCACGUCGCCGGCGAGGCACGAAAAUAGAGCCCACAGUGUUUUCUAGCCAACUGGUACUUCACAAGGUUUAUGCAUUUAAAAAUAAUCCACUAUAUUCUUCUGUAAGUGCACAACUACAUGAUGAUAUCCUAAUAGCUGUUAAAAAGUGGCCACUAAAUUGGUCUGCCUUACGUAUCCAGCAUGCUUUUGCAGCCACUCAGUGUGCAUAUCCAUAUCCAAAUCAACAUAUGGCUAACAAGUUAAGGUAAGAUAAAAUAAGAACUUUAUUGAUCCCUGGAGGGAAAUUCAAAACCUUCAAGAGAAGUCACAGACAUGUCGUCAUUCACACGAUUCUUCAUUGUUGUAAAAAAGAGAAAAUGCAGAGGCAAGUAUUACAGGAUGCUACUAAACACCAGUUCUCUGCUGUAUUGAACAGCAGAGAACUAAGAAUGCCAAUAACGUUACAAGCAAAGUUUUCCACAAGUGAAAAUACAAAAUAAAAAGGUGACUAUCGCUGUUGGCUGAAUUUUCAAUUAGCUUUAUUAUGCAUGUAAACUUAAUGAAAGUUUCAAAUACUUGAUAAAAAAAAGAGAUGCUAAGAUAACAUACAGUAAAACUACAUUUUUUAGACCUGCCCAAUUUAAGUCUGAAUGACAAUUUAUAUUGACUACUUAGCAGUGUCCCUUUCUCCUCUGGUGUCCAGUGUGUUUAAGGUAAGUUGUGUUGUCCUUAUCCCACCUUGAGUCUAACCUUGAGACAACAGGCACACCAAUUACACCAUGAAUUUUAAAUCAUUGCGUCCAGAUGUCUUUAAUAUCCUCCCUGACAUCAAGCUUCUGCAAUAUUUUUCCCCGGCAGACAAAAGCCUCUUCAUCCUACAGGACCGUGGUGAAAGUUUCAUCUCAUCAAACUUUAAAGAAAGACGAAGGACAUCCAUCCACUCUAAUGUGUGCCCCUCAGAGCAGCUUCUUGACGUGGAGCACUUCCAGGUGUGAUUCAGCUCACAGCAGAGAGCUUGGCCCCAUGCCACAGGUGUUUUAGGCCCCGGCCAAAUGGAAGCAGCUCUCCCAUGAUUAAUGGAACUGCACCCUGACAGGUGAGACAGGCCAAGCUGACAGCUUAUGUCUCUCUUAUGAUGCGUCAGUCAGUCAAAAGACUUCAGCAUGCUUUACUGGAGUUUCCAAGGAGGAUUAUUCGACACAUGUAAGCUAAAUAUAGACCCACUGAUCUGCAUUUAGUUAUCAGGUUUUUUUCCUGUAACUUCUGGACAAGUUAUGGACUUGAAAGCUGUUACACGGACAUUAUACUAUUACUGUGUUUGUACAUCAUUAAGCUAAGUACAAAGAAGCUCCAGCUCCAUGUAAGCAGUGUUUCUGGAGCGCAACAAUGGCAAAAGGGUAAGUAAAACUUUGACACUCCUGAUGUAAAAAAUAAUCUACCCCAAAUAUACUGUUUAUACCUAUGACUAAAUAGUAAUAUGGCAGAGGACAAUAAGAAGGCAGAUGACAAACAAAAGGAACAUUUUUUAGAUCUGGCCUUAUUUUUGAACAACUAACUUAAAUCUCAAAAAUUCUGGUUCAAGUCUGACAUGAAAAAGAAAGUCUCUUGUUAUGUCCACAGUUAUAUGAAUAUUUAAAAAAAAUGUUUAGUUUUAUAUUUUAAAUUUUUUUUAUUUCUACAUUAAAAAUUUCUAUUUAUACAGUAUGUACAAAAAUGAAUACAUCAAACAAAAUCCUUGUCCAAUCCAAAGGCGUUUUGGGAUAGUCCUCUAUCUCCAUAACGACAUAGAACUGGCUCAAAACCCCAACAAAAACAUGCCAGUAAGUGCUGAUAACAUGUCAUUGGUCUGUCAGGUCAGGACAUUGUGCACUUGUGUGUCAGGUGUGGUUUUAAUAAAUAAUAAUAAUUCAUCAGAUUUCAAAUAGCACUUUAUCAGAGAGCCUCACAGCGCUUUUAUUUGGUUACAUCAUUCAUUUGCUUACACAGUCCCACCUUGGUGGUGGUAAACUACCUUAGUAGUCACAGCUGCCCUGGGGCAGACUUACAGAAAUGUGGCUGCCAGUUUGCACCUCUCAAACCACCACCAAACAUCACUCACAAUCAUACACCAGAGGAGAACACACACUGGCCCUCAUUUAUCAAGCUUGCGUACGGCAGAAAACUCACAUACACCUUGCGUGCGUAAGUUGCUACAUGAGGAUCGGCAUUUAUCAAUCUGCACGUCAGCGUACACUACGACCAAAUCUUACGACAGGUCUGACAUCGUGUACGCAAGUUUGAGUCAGUGUAGAUCUGUGGUGCAACAAAUGUCCAUCUCAAAAUAAUUGAUAAACAAACCUCAAACCCGUCAUUAAGCACAAUCAGCCAGAUUUAAUUAAAGAUUAAGACGUAAAUAAAAUAAAAUAAAAUAAAUAUGUUAUGUCCUUAGUGAAUAGGUCUAUUUGAUAACUGCCCAGAAACACUGCUACAGAGCAGGAGUACCAUUUAAACAUUGCGCACACACGCGCCACUGUGGAGUGCCAUGUUUGACUCCUAAAAGGCAGGUAGCUCUGUCUCGGCCCAGCAGUGGGGACGUUGUUGUACACUCCUGAAAGGGUGUGGGACAUCAUUUGAGCCAGUACAGUUUUGCACAAUGUUGCACUGGCGAAUGUAGUGCCGUUGGCUGUGCCAGUGCAACGUGAGGACCCGAUGCCCGGAGAACAAUAACGAGGAGAGACUCCACAAAGGAACUGUACGGAGGAGACAGGACCUUUUCGCUGGAUUCUGACAUGUAAAGUUCAGAAAGUGCUCUUGAUAUUUAAUCAGUGAUAAAAAUCCAAUAGAAAUCCAUAAAAAUGUGCCUCAGGGGCAGCAACACACCGUUUGGUUUACGUUAAUAAUUAUUUUUGUUCAGCCUCUGUCAGACUCAACUUAUUGACUAAUAAUUUAUUUAAACUUCAGACACGGUCCCCUAUUUCGUGGCAGCACUAUUCACCGCCACCAUAAUCCUGCUCCAGACAGGAGAUUCCAGGACUGCUUUUAUACCAGUUUUGAUGCUUCCAAAGAGCAAAAUCCUUGUUAGUUUCCACCACAGAUGUGAGGAUAUCCACUUUCAGCUCGGAAAAAUUUUCAAAUCUUUCUAAUAUUUCUCCUCUUUCAUGUUUCAUGCCUUGCUGAAGGAGGCGUUUGGUCUGGAAAAGGAGCCACUGUUGGACCGGUCCCACCGGACCCUGCAGCCCAAACCCAAACCCGGUGAUUGUCCACGCGCCAUUGUGUGCAGGUUUCAUUAUCACAGUGACUGUGUUGAUGUGCUGCGCCGCGCCAGAGAGCCCUGACAGACCAAAGUGAGAGAUUUGUCCAUUUAAAAAAACAGGAGUUGAACCAACUCCUGGCUAUACUAGACUAACCUUAAUGCCAGGCUGCAACACAAAGAACCAUACAGACAUGUGGUUCAUCAAUCUAAGGUUAGGUAGAGUAUCUUUCUCAAGAACAUUGCACCAUGUUGACUCUAUUCAUUCUUAAACACAUUUAACUUUUAAACACAAGUUUUUACUGACCACCUGGAUAUUCUGUAUCUCACAUUUAGGCUUUGUUAUUUAUAACAACAAAAAUCCAUUUCACUGUCAGGUAAGUAACUGGAUGCCAUCUGAGCUAAUUUGAGGGACUGUGAUAAUGUGCUGCUCCUGUAAGUAUUUUAAGCCAAAAUUGGCAAGUUUAUGUUAAAACAGAUGUCCUUUAGCUGCUUUACAGCUGGUAGCUAUCAUUAAAGUGUAAUUAAAUCAGUCUAAUUAAAGCUUGUACAUAAGCUGUUCUGGCCAAAGCCUUCAUCUGUUAUCACUAAACACCAAUGAACAGAUGAUUUUAAGGAUCAGAAACAGGCCCAGAGGGUCAUUUUAAAACAGCACUCAAAGGCCCAUUACUCUUUUAGAGGUGCAGUAACAUUAUUAGAGUAUAAGACAAUGAUUUUCAAUGUGUGGGACUGUCUGUACUUCUAAAUGCUAAGAUUUGUUUUUAGCAGUGGACUGUGCCACUUAAAUAUAAAGCAAGUUGCUGCAGCCUCCCUGUUAGAUUUAAAGCUAAAAUUUUGAGACAAUGUGGAUUUAUUUUUUCAACCAGAAGCUUUUACGUGAAAAAAAAUACAUCCAAGAGAAGGAAAUAGAAUCAUGGAAAAAUGAGACUGGAGAUACCAGUCAAAAUGACCAAGACCAAAGAGUUCCAGGCCAGCCUCGCUCCCAGCAUGUCCUUCUGAAAGAUGGUGCGCAUUACAACGUAAUCAGAUCAAUUCCAAGCAAAAGUUUACAAAACAUUUUUAAAGGCAGUAAUGUUUGUCAGCUUGUUUUUGCUUUGACUGGUACAUGAUUGUUUUGUGGUCUCAAGGUGACAAGCACAAGUUGCUAGUCAAUUUUUCCAUUUACCUCAUUUGAAUCCAAACUUCCUUUGCCAAUGAUGAGCCGUUUCUUGGUUUAAGUAGUGAGACAGUAACAUUUGUCUCAAAGUCGUCUACCUCACUGUGUCACCCUCUAUAUGACUUUGCCCUGUGGAAGAAGUUCCUCAGUAAUAAAAAUGACCUCAUCCUGGCCUUGCAGCAGUGUGAGCAGUGACACAGAGUAGAGAGGCCGGUGCCUGCACUGCUGAGGGCCAGAUAACAGCUAAUCAGAUGUGACAGCCCAGAGAGAAAACAGGCCCAGCUGAUGGGGCCAAAAUGAGAACAGAAGGUCCUUUGAUUCAUGUGCUUUAAUGUUUACACAGAGGGGUUAAAGUAUGCAAAGCACUGGCUUAGUAUUAAUGAAUAAAGGAGGGGAGAGUGAAGGGGAGAACAUAAUAGAAGAAUACAGUUUAAUGUGGAUAUCAAACACUUUACCAGACACAGAUUUGGAGAUAAAGUGGUACAUAAAUACAUGUAUAUUUCAAUAUACAUAUGCAAUUGAAACUGUAUGGUGUCUAUAAACCAUCAUAAUUUUAAAAACAAUAUUUAAGUUGUAAUGUUUCUUAUUAUCGCCAUAUCUCCUUGUGCAACUUGUUUACUGCCUCCUUGUCGUCCAGCUACCUGAUACUCAGUCAGGAGAUUUACAUGUAGGGUUCAAUCACACCUAGAUCAGCUGAUUUUACUGAACUACUGUCCCUGUCCCAGUUUACAAGCAACCGAUAAGAAUCAAAUUAUUGACAGAAGCAUGCACUGUACCUUGGCCAGGGAGGUGGCGAAUUUCCCUUUCAGCUCCUUACUAUUAGGUUAUCUCCUGGUGGAUGACUAUGUAAGGGAAAGUUGGACAAAAUGUGUCAGCAAGAAGCCAACGGGAUGUAUGUCAAACAAUGAAAACAUUUUCACUUUUAUAGCUCUGUGCUGUGUGCUUGUACGAUAGGAAACUUUUGGCUUUUUUUUCACGUCCUUUCUUCAUCUGUCAAGGUUUUUACAACCCAGCUUCCUGACAACAAGUCCAAGGCCUUCAACUCAGGUUUCACUUCAUGUGAGCCGCGGGUCCCGGACUCUGAGCACAUUUUGGGACUGCACUCUCCAGCCAGGCUCGGUGACCUCCCACACAGUCCCAUCUUACACCUGCUCACACAGCCUCACAACUGAAAAAUAAUUGUACAGAUACCUGAUAAGAGGCUGCACAAUUACCAAAGUUUCAUAAAAGAAAGAGGAAAAGGAUGCCAACAGUAUAACAAAUCAUAGGAUUAUUAUUGUUAGAAUACAUUUGGCUUUUUUUCUUUAUCAUUUUUGUAAUCAAAUAAUAUGUGCCAACAAAAUGUGUGAGUUUGGUGAGCUGAAGCAAAGUUUAGGCAGAAAUAAAGCCUGCCUUUAUUUGUGGACAGUGAGUCCUGCAGACUGGCUGCUGUCAUGUCAGCAGGUGUGUCUGCUGAUGGGAAAAGACAACCAAGGUUUGUGCUUGUUUGCUAUAAGUUUGUCGGCAUAUUUUAUGGAGAAUAAACAUGUAUAAACUGCCUUUCAAAGACUAUUGUCCUAUUCGAAGAUGAAGCCUCAGUGAUGUCAGAGUCCAGUGUCACAUAAUGGUGUUCUGUUGGAAUAGGAGGUUUUCAGUCACGUGAUCCUGACUUCGCACGAGGACCAAAUGGAGGGCAGGAAGUGACCGACUGCAAUAGAGGAGUAGCGGGAAAGGUCGUAUUGCACCGGUUUAGAUGCGUGCCGGUAUUUAGCCUUAGAUGGAGUUUUUCACCCGCUUUGGGCUGCAUUCCCAAACAACCUGACUCCAAGAAGACCAUACCCCGUAGCGACUGGGGCCGCUACUGGCCUCACACCGUCCAUGGGAUUCGGCGCUGGGCUCUUCCCUCUUCACUCGCCGCUACUGAGGGAAUCCUGGUUAGUUUCUUUUCCUCCGCAUAGUAAUUUGCUUAAAUUCAGCAGGUCGUCUCGUCUGAUCUGAGGUCGUAUUCGAUUCAAGCAGCCGUAAACGGAGCAAAAUAUCAACAUGUUGUUGGUCUCUAUAGCAGCAACUCACUUCCUGCCCUCCAUCUGUAUUGCACAUGUGCCGUGUAACACGGAAGUGACGUCAAGUGAAAACCUCCUAUGGGUCUUUUUUUCUUGUGAGGAGGAUUACCUAUAAACAUGCAUGCAGCCUCAUAUUCACAGUUUGUCAGACUGCUAUGCUGUGCCAGUUAUAGCCAAUAACUUGUGCCGACAUCAACCGUAAUUAGUUAUUAAUAUAUAUAUAUAUAUAUACAUUAUUCAGGAUUCCUUCCUUCCUGGAUGAGGCUGUAAACCUGACAGUUGGCUCAAAAGGUUUGGAUUUGUUUUGGCUGUGGUUCAGGCUUUGAGGCCAAAGUCUCAUCCUCUAUGCUCUUGUCAAAAUCACUGCCAUCCCAUCAGACUCCCCCUCACUCAUCUCCUGGAUUGUGGGGAUAGCCACUUCCACAGAAAAUCUAUGAGGAAGUCCUCUCUUCAUGUUUGUUUGAAAAUAUUUAUCACUUUGUGUGUGUCUAUCUGAUUGUCUGUCUGCCUGUUUUUAUCUCUGUGUAUGCCUGUUUGAUAUCCUUCGUCUCUUCCUCCCCAUCCAUAAACAAAGAAUUUUGACACAUAUUAUAUCAAAGCCAAAAAAAAAAAAAGGUAGCCACACGAAAUCACUUAUGAGAAAUGUAUCACUAUGCUUCUGUCCACAGUCAUCUAUGUGAUGGCAGCAGCGAUUUGAGAAAGAAAUGCUUAGAAGUCGUAAGUGCUUCAUCACACAACCUUAUAAGCUUUAGCAAAUAUGCAGAACAUAUAUUUAGGAAAACCAAUGGUGCGACAGACUUGUAAUUUUAAUUUUAACAAAUUUGUUGGCAUCCAAAAAUCCCAAGCCUUUAUCAGACUCCAGGGUGGUAUUAGUGUCAAACACCAUCACUUACAUUUUAACAAUAAUUUCAAAUCUGUCAUAGAUCUUUCAUUAUUAAAUUUUGUCUCACUGGAAUUGUAAGGUUCUAUCAAAUGCUUUCCACAAAAUGUCGUCAUUUUUUCCUCAUUCUAUCUGUUUUGUGACUGAUUAUCUUCCAAAAAAAGUUAUUUCUACUAAGGUCAAAGCUGAGCUUAGCUCUACAGGAUUUUACCACUAGGGACCAAUCAGAGUUGACCUGUUGAUGAUGUCACUGUUCUACUUAGUGGGGGCAGGGGAAGGGGAAGUAGAGAGGAACAGAGUGGGCAAAGAAAUGAAAUUGUCAAACAGAGUUUAGGAGAGUCCUGAAAACAGCAUUAUUUUGGAGGAGCUCAUGAAGGACAGUGCUUCAGGCACCAAACACGUUUAGUCUUCUUUAUUUACUGUUAGCUGCCAUGCUAUCAGGAAACUAAUAGCUCGCUAAAGUCCAUCAACCCAAUCCAUCCCCCUCUUCUCCAUCACAGCUGAUAACUCAUCUCUGUCUCCUUCCUCCUUCACCCGCAACCUUGGACUCAUCUCUGGUACUCACCUCACCUUUGAACAACACAUCAAACAGGUCACUAAAUCAGCCUUUUUUUCACCACAAAAACAUUGCCCGUCCUCACCCAUCUCUCUCCCUCCCCGCAACAGACACCCUGGUCCACGCGUUCAUCACCUCAAGGUUAGAUUACUGUAACAGCCUCCUGUACGGUCUACCCUCCAAACUCCUCAACAAAGAUAGUCCAGAAUUCUGCCGCCUGCCUCCUUACCCACACCCGUUCACGAGACCACAUCACCCCUGUCCUCCUCCGUCUACACUGGCUCCCCAUCAAGCAACGCAUCAUGUUCAAGAUCCUCCUUCUCACCCACAAAGCCCUUCAUCAACAAGCCCCCCCUUAUCACUAGAAGGACCACAGAGCAGCCAUUUGGCUUUACCCCCCUCAAGGUCCACGGGGCAGCUGAUCGGCUGGAAGGAUUUUAGCUAAUAUCCUAAAUCGGACAGUCUCUCCCCACUGGGAUGACUGGGGUCCUUGCAAAGAUAUGGGAGGACAUUGCAGAUGUACUUGGAUUUCAAGUCACAAGCCACCCAAAACUUGAUCCCAAACGUGUCAGGUUUCAUUGCAACGUACUGCAGGAAACAGCAGCGAGUCUUUGACAGGAAAAGCUGUUCGUCAGUGGUGAUGUGUCGACCAGAGUUGUAGGAUGUGAUGCAGUUGGUGACAAAUGACGACCACACGGCAGAAAUUGCAGCAAACUUGUCAGUCUUUGUGCGCUCACUGCGGUUGAACAGUACAGUCUUGAAUAGAACCAAGCAUGUCCAGUGUGAUGAAACACAGGAAGCUCUGAAGACCAGUCAAGAUGGACCUCCUGGCCUUAGCUGUUGGUUCUCCAUCUGCUGAGGUGCAGGGACAUCAGGAGAAGUAGAACCGAACAAAACAAACAGAGGCCCAAACUGUCUGUGCAGUGGCUAUGGCUGAAGCAGUUUCUGUCUACAGUUGUUCUCAGGUUAGAAACUCCCCUCCCCCUCCCCACUCCCUCUCCCAACAACACAAGUUUUCUUGGAGUAACUCAGCAUAUCCCCUCCUGUGGUGCGCCAGCGAUCGCCUCGUUUGCAUAACAAACUGAGUGUUCACAGGUGAUUUAGUACUGGCUAAAAGCCCUCCAAGCCAUUUGGCUGCCCUUUGGUCUUUAUAGGUAGGAACAGCAAAAGCUGGUCCUUCUAGUGUUAUCUCACCGACCUGCUCCAGCCUCAUGCACCCCCCUGUAACCUCUGAUCCUCCUCUGCUCAUCUCCUCACCCCAAAGUCACGACCCAAGCACAGAACCUGGGGGGAGCGGGCAUUCUCCACAGCUGCCCCUACCCUCUGGAACUCCCUACCACCCUCCAUCAGACACUGCCCUGACCCCACUGCUUUCAAAUCCCUUUUAAAAACUCACUUAUUUAAAAUUGCUUUUAAUAUCUAACUGUUUUAUUCAUUUUAUUUCUACUGUUGUUAUGUCUUUGUUUUAUUACCUUGGGUUUUUGUACUAUGUAAAGUGUCUUUGAGUGUUUUUAAAAGCGCUGUACAAAUAAAAUGAAUUAUUAUAAUUAUUAUUAUUAAAGUGACUUUGACAGCUGGUGCUGACAUGAGAGAGCAAGCACAAAAGACAGUUUUUUUUCUUUACCUUUUUCAAGAAAUAUUCCAACAACAUUUUCUUAUUACAGCGUUGAAUUAUUAAGUAAUAAAAUGUUUUAAGUUUGCAUGUGGAAUGCUUUUCUUCUCUAUGUUCCUUUUUUUGUGAUGACCUGGCACACAAUCCCUGAUGCAGAAGUGUGGAGGAGCAAUGUGCAAAAACAGCAGACAGAUGCAGUCACAAGCUCUCCAGCAAUACUUAUGAAUAUAAUAAACUUUUUAGAGUCAAGUGAAUCUAAUCUAAUAUUAGUACUUUGUAACUGUUCUCUUUAAUUGUUUCAAGGAAGUUUGGUAGCUCAAGAUCAACCAGGAGAACGUUAUAUUUAAAAUAAAAGUAAGUCAUAGCGUCACAAGUCAGAGGCAGCUUCAAAACGCUUCUGAGAAAUGAAGUAGUUAUUUUUAAUAUCAUUUCACUCAUUCAAUACGUCCAACAUGUCGUAUACAAUACAUGUCACAAAUGGUGUGCAGUUUUUCAGGGAUGAUUCUGAUUCUUCACUGACGUCUAGCGAGGCCUGGUUAAUGGGGCAGAACCUACACUCUUCAGGAGUUCCUGUUUGGUUCCUUUUUCUGACUAACACAGCUGGCAUACCUGUGAAGCUUAAGUUCCCCACGAUAGAAAGGCAUACAAUAAUAAUAAUAAUAAUUAUUAUUAUUAUUAUUAUCAUUAUACAAUUUCGUUUAUCUAGUGCUUUAAAAAGACUUAGACCUCAUUCUUACACAGUCAUAUAAUCACAACACGUCAACAUGAGGACAUCCUUUAGAUUCAAGCCAACAGGAUCACUGGUGAGGAUCCCCUCAGGCACAUACAUGGAGAUACAGCAUUGGCUGUUUUCUCCUGCUGCUGUGAUACCUCAGUGCUUUUGCUUUUUUAUUGUGGGCAAGCCACCAUGUUAAAGAACACAGGCAGAUGUGGAAACUGGUUUCAUCUGUUUUUUAUCAUCUGUUACGUGGGAGAACUCUUGGUAAAACAGUAAAAACUGUAGAGACACAGGAGAGUGAAAGAGUGUCUUCCCAGAAUGCCCUACAACGACAGUGUGGACGCACUUCUGUAGUUUAGUGAUGCGUGAUGCGGCUGCCUCAGUACAUCAGUCAGAGUGGCGGCGCCUGUAUGCUUAGCUGGCAGAUGGUAACGGGCUUGCUGCUGUCAGAAGAGCCAGUAUUUGAACAUUCAGUGUUUCCUCAAUGUUUGAUGGUGUAUUCAGGUGAUUUUAUGAUUUAAUUCAUUGCUUUAUCUCACAUAUUGGUUAUCUAGGUAUUAAUGUAUGCUUUCAAUCAGAUUAUUAAAAAAAAAAGAAUCGUUAAAUAGAGUCAAAGAUAUUUGAAAUCAUAACAGCUGCUUUCGCUGCUGUGAUGUGUGAACAGACCCCUGGCCUUUGACAGAUUGUGUGUGUCCACUGUUGUGUAAUUAUAGCCUCUCAGUGACCUUGUUAAUGUGAAUUAUGAGAAGGAGGCUUCACAUGCAGCUCAGGGCUCAUGUGUUAGUAAAGGAUCUGAGCUGUCCUUGUCAAGUAAAGUGGGGAGACGUGUGUGUGUGUGUGUGUGUGUGUGUGUGUGUGUGUGUGUGUGUGUGUGUGUGUGUGUGUGUGUGUGUGUGUGUGUGUUCUUGCUGAAAUUGUUGUUUCAUCAAUAAAUAAUGGCAGGCAGAGCUGUGAUGGCCACACAGUUCCUCUGAUCUAUGAUCAAACAGAAAGACUGUCCUGCUCUCAGACUGCAAAUACAGCCAGACACCAAAAAAUCAAACACAUUCACAGACUUGCACACAAACAAAAUGAUUGCAGCCCUUAUGACCCCAAACAACCUCACUCAAUAAAUCCGAUAAUGGGUAGUUUUUGGGUCUCCCCUGCAGAUGUCUGUGCAUGUGUUGUUCACUGUGUCUCUUUCAGGUGAACUCAAAGCUUCUCACGUCCAGCUGGUACAUUUUUGAGCCAAUAUUUCAGCACUCACAAGCCAAGUGCAUACUUGAACCUUUCCUUGUCAGAUGCGAAAUCCUGGCUCUGCUCCUUGCAUCCGGCUCAGUCAGGACAAGUGCCCCAGCACCUCUGGACCUGAAUAUUUUCCUCCUACCUGUCUGAUAUGCAGAGUGUUGCUGCUGAUCUAUUUGCUGCUUCUUUUCAUCUCCUCUUCCCCCCCUCAGGGAACAGAUUCGUCAGGCAGGUGGCUGUCCAGGUUUUAUCUCCAAAUUUUGGUUUCCAGCACUUCUGCCAAUUCUGUUAUACCAGCUUGCGUAACCAUCUGUACUCAUAUCAUACUUUAAAAAAUAUUACAGCAUGAAAGGGUUUAAAGAAGCUGUGCGCUCAGUCUGUGGUCCUGCACAAACUGAAAGUCUGCUGUGGGAAAUCUGCAGGGAGAACUUUGUGUCUAAAGCCUGAUUUUUGUUAUUGAGGCUGCCAUGCCAAGUGCAGUGGGAUAGUGGUCUUCUGUUGUCAUUCAAUAUUCUCCAUCAUGGUCAACUGCUGACUUAUGUUAUUUUACGACAUGCACUAAGUUACAAAACAUGUUCUUAUAUAAUGUACAAACAUUUUUUUGACCUCCAUACUCCCUUAACACUGGGUCAACAUUGCAAAGGUGUUUCACAGUGGAAUUCAACUUUAACUGGAAGAGGGACAAACUGCAGGUGUCUUUUCAAAUGUUAAGGGACUGUUGGGGCGUUAUCAAACAACUGUGAAAGCUGCUAAAAGAACAUUUGUCUGACAUUAUCCUGUCGAACUGUCACAAGCGUUGCAUAUUGUUUAAAACUAUUGACUCUGUUCUGAAUGCCCCACAGUCAGCAUGCAUGGAGGCCUCCCCUGCUGUUUGUGAAAACUUUCUUCACUUCUUUAUCAACAAGGUCUCUUCUACCGGGGCUCUAAUUUCUCCCCCUGCUUAUGACCCCUCAAUCUCUGUCACCUGCUCUGCUGUUUUUAACUAGUUUGAGCCUGUGUCGCUGUCUUCUCUACAGGAGAUUGUUGGUCAUAUGAAGCCCUCUGGUUCCCCUAUUGAUGCUAUUCCUGCUCGGCUUUUUAAAGAGGUUUUCCUUACUUUAGGACCAUAUGUUACUGCAGUUAUUAAUAGCAAUCUGUGCUCAGGUGCGGUCCCCACAAAUUUUAAACAUGCAGUGGUGCAACCACUGAUUAAAAAAACAGGGCUAGAUCCUGCUGUUCUUGCCAAUUUCAGGCCCAUAUCUAAAGUGUCCUUUCCAUCAAAGAUUAUUGAGAAGGUGGUUUACAGUCAAUUAAUGACCUUUUUGGAAGAGCACAGCAUUCUCGAGAUUUUCCAAUCGGGUUUUAAAUCUCUGCACAGUACCGAAUCUGCACUUUUAAGAGUUUUUAACAACAUCUUUUUAGCUACAGACUCCGGUGAUUCUGUGAUUCUUGUGCUUUUAGAAUUAACAGCUGCCUUCGAUACAGUGGACCAUGAGAUCCUAAUUUCUCGCCUGGACCAGUGGGUGGGUAUUAGGGGUGUAGCAUUGGAGUGGUUCAGGUCGUACUUGGCCGACAGAACUUUUUGUGUUAGCUUUGGCGACUCUGUGUCCUCCUCUGCUCCCCUCUUAUGUGGGGUCCCACAGGGCUCAGUGCUUGGACCUCUCCUCUUUUCUCCUUACUUGCUCCCGCUUGGCUCCAUAAUUAGGAAACAUGGCGUACCCCCCCCCCCCCCCCAACGCCAGAUCUUGGUUCCAGAACAUGAAACCAUCCGCUACAAACCUGGGGGUAAAGAUGGACCCUGACCUCAAACUUGACAGCCAGAUCAGUUCGGUCAUUAAAUCAAGUUUCUACCACUUGAGGCAGCUAGCUAAAAUAAAACGAAUUCUCUCUAGGCAGCAAUUUGAGACAGCAAACCACGCCUUUGUUACCACUCGGCUGGAUUGCUGCAAUGCAUUGUAUGUGGGGGUUAGUGCGUCGGCUAUGUCUCGGCUCCAGUUGGUGCAAAACGCUGCAGCACGUCUUUUAACUGGCACUAGAAAACAUGAGCACAUUACCCCCAUUUUAGCUUCACUCCACUGGCUGCCUAUACAUUUUAGGCUUCAUUUUAAAAUUCUUUUAUUUGCUUUUAAAUCCCUCAACAGUCUUGCCCUGCCGUACCUCUCUGAGCUUCUACAUUUUUACACUCCAUCCCGGUCUCUCAGGUCAGCUGAUCAGCUGCUCCUGAGAGAGCCUAAAACAAAGCGGAAACUCAGAGGGGAUCAUGCCGUUGCAGCUUCUAAACUCUGGAAUAACCUGCCUCAGCAUAUCAGACAGGCCUCCUCUCUGUCUGUUUUUAAAUCCCAUCUUAAGACCCACCUCUUCUCGUUGGCUUUUAGCACUUAGUAGAGGGUUGAUUUCAUCAGCCUUUAAGAUUUAAACUUUAAAAAUCAAUGUCUGGUGAAAGAACAAAUCCGAUGUUCUCUAGAGAAAGUAGAAAAUAAUUACGACUUUUGGUCAGUGAUUAGCUACAUAACAUUAGUUAUAUUCAAAGUUUGCAGGUUUCCAUGAGUGUGUUCUUAAGUGUGCCUCCAUCGAACUAGAAGAACAAUGUGCAUAGUUGUUAAACGGAUAACCCCUCACUUUUUGUGAUUUUAUUAAAAAGGUGUUACCUAGGUCUUUUCAUUACUUCUAAAUCAUCUGUCUUUAUUUUAUGGGCUGUGAUGUUCAAAAGCUCUUUAAAAGCAGGAGCUGCAGCUGCCUCUCUCACAAAGCUGUGAAUUCAAUUACUCAUCAGAAGUCUCUCCUCAAGUUUCUCACAACUUUCUCAUUUAGGAAAGUAAGUAUUACACCCAAGGUAAAGCCGCUUAUCUUUGAAUAAUUUAUGUUUGCUUGUUCUAAAAGAGCCAGAUUCACACAACAGCUUCUUAUCUUUGUCUUAGAGCUCUCAUGUCCCAUCAGAACUUGGAUUGCUGUUCAUAAGUCAUAACUAUUUUUUGACAUCAUGAAGAGUGAAUUAAAACUGAAAUUGUGGUGAAAUCUUCCAUGAUGGUGCUCAGGUUAAGAAUAAAAAGAGUAAAUAGUCAUCUCUGUUCAGAUGGCCUCGUCUUCCUUCUUCUUGCUCGACACUUGUACAGUAGCUCUGUUAAAGCUUCAAUUUACAGCUUCAUGGUGCCCUGAUUAACUCUGGUUUAAGCUAAUUUACAUUUAUAUUUAUAUAUUGUUUUAGUUGUUUUAGUUGUUGUUUUUCAUCCACCUCUCUAAAAGUUUGGGCAUCACUGACAAAGUGAACCUGAACUCCAGCUGACAUGUUCUCCUCUGCACUUAACUUCUCUUUCAUGUUUCUCUUCUCAUUUCUCUUUACGCAAAAACAACCUGCAGCAAAGAUGUUUUCGCUCACAUAUCGGUGCGGCUCAGAGAGAGGGUGAUGCUCUUGACCUUUCUGGCUUCUUACACUCUGCUGCUGCUGCUGCUGGGAGCAGAAAAAGGAAAAAUUCAUGCCCGGCCGCUACUGAAGAAUUAAACAGUUUUUUUUUUUCUUUUCCUUAUUAUUAUUAUUAGCAUUAUAUGGGUAAAUGCAGAUACAGGCAAGACUGUAGGGUGAAUAAAAUACGUUCCUCUCUUGACCUUAAACUCAUCAUUUUCAAUCAGUGUUAAACCAAAAACUGUGUUUCAAUGAUUUGAAAACUUCUAAUCCUUGGGCUACAGAACAAUAGCUCAAAAGUAUGCUGAAACACUGAUCAAUCCUCUGUUUUGAAAAAACUCCUCAGCUCCUGGGUUAAUCAGAUCCUGGAGAGGAAAGCACCUCAGUCCAGCUGCAGCUGCUCUGCACUGGCUUCAGAUAACCUUGAGAGCUGCUCUAAUCACCCUUCCCAAAGUCGUUCAUUAGCGAGGACCAAAGUUACACCCAUGCUCCCAUGUUGACUAGCUGCCUCUGAGAAAACUGCAGUCAUCUGUUUACUGGUUUACUAAAGUUCCCAGUAGCAGCUGCUCUCCUCUCAUUGAUUUUUUUCAGCUCUUACUCCUUUUGUUUCAUUUUGCUCAAGUCUGCAAACCAAAGUCAGACUCUGAUAACUUAUUUUCUUCAUGCAGUGGCUUUGGUAAGAACAACGAAGUGAACAGCUGCGGUAACAUUUAGGUAUCCUGCCCUCACAUAAGGCUGCAUCUCUGUGGGAUUAUUCCUGUGAUAUAAUGGGCUGUUUUAAUGACCUAUUAUAAGUGACCAAAACAGGCCUAUUUGAGUGAAUUUGCUUUAACUGUACUGCAGUUUUAUGUGACUCUCAAAUAGAUGAAACAAUAAACAAGAACAUUCCCAACACUUUUGCAUCGAUAAGUCAUUUAGGUUACAGAAAAAAGGGCCCAGGUUUCAAGACACCUGAAAGCCUCCCCAUGCGCCAACUCCCUCUUAUGACUACAAUGUAAUGAUUUAGAAAUAGGUUUUUAAAAAAGGCUUUGUCUCUAGGGUUGUUCCCGAUUUAAUUCACCCAAAAAAACAAACAAAAAAAAAAGCAAAUUUAUUAUAGUUAGUUCUUAUAGUUACACUAUAUAACCAAAUUCCCCCUCAGGUAUAAAUAAAGUUAUUCUUAUCUUAUUUGCACAGAAUUAGUUGAAUGUCCUUCUGAAAUCAACGUUGUAGCUUGAUUACACAGUCUAAUUUACUGGAGUUUGCCAAAGGUUCUUGUUAUAAAUACUGAGGCACUGCAUGAUAGCCACCUUGAUAAUCGAUAAAAUGUAGUAGACAUAUACAUCACCCCCCCCCCAAAAAAAAAAAAAAAAAAUAGUGAACAGCUUUGUUUUCCACAAAGUUCAUAAGCGUAAAACACAGUAAAACAGUUUGUUCUGAGCUUGUAUUGUGAAUAUUUGAUGUCAAAUGCAGAGAAAUACUGUCUUUUUCAACACACUGUCAAAUAUCUUACCUAAAAGUGACCUCCUCACAGCAGUUUUAGGCAUUCAAAGUUUUAAUCUUGCUGCUGAUGAUCUUUUGUAUGAUCUUUGUGGGUCAUAGAGAGGCAUCAGUAUAAGUGAUGGGAAGAACAGUUCUUUUGACUGUACUGAAUCUUUAGAAUCCAUUGAUUAAAAGGAUUCAUAUGUUCAAAAGUCCACUGAAUCAGUCAGUGCUUCAGAGCCCCGUCCUGCCGGUGCAGUACACGAGUAAGUGACACAGCGGCAAGUUCAUUUGUUAAACCUCUGUGUAUCGCUGUUGGCGAAAACAACACAGCAGCAAGCAGCACGCCCACUAAACAAGCGGGAGUUGUCGUUCUUUUGUAUCGCAGAAAAGUGAAGAGACUAAAGAUAAAUAAACAUCGCAGCUGUAGCGGGGAUUCUGCUAUGUUUAAAGAUAUCAGAUAGUGUAUUGCUUUAAAUCGACUGGAAUUAAAUCCUUCAUGCAGGAAAGUUUAUAAAUGUGUGUUAAUGUAAAGGCACUAUAAUGCACUGUUUUAUCUUAGCCUCAGUGAAUAAAACGGUGUGCAGCAGUAAGUGAACGACACUACACCCCUCCCUCCUCUGCCUGAAUAAAGUCAUUCAGAAGUAGUUCAUUUUGUUCACCAUGCCGUUCACUGACUGACGUUUCGUUGACUGACUGUUUGGUUCACACACUGAUACAUGUCGUUCGCAGACUGUUUCGUUCACUGACUGAUACAUAUCGUUCACAGACUGUUUCGUUCAACUGUUGCUGUUUAAACUGUUGACUGUUUAGUUCACUGACUGAUAAAGGUCGUUCACAGACUGUUUCAUUCACUGACUGAUACAUAUCGUUCAUUCGCUGUGAGUGAAUCACGAGACUCCGUUCACCAAAGAGUCAAUGGUGGCAGUUCUACUCCAGACUGGCAUGCCAGGCUCACGGCUGAGCUCAACUGAACUGAAAAAGGAACAAAUCAGGUCUGGGAGUGAUUCAGUUCACGUUGUUCACUCAGCAGUUCCAUAAUUUUGAACGAAAUGUUCAUGAAUGACACAACACUAAUCAGUAUGUCAUCUAUUACAUGGUGUUGCAACAACUGGAUAUAUGUGGAUAUGUGGCUUACAAUGUCCAACACAGCCUUCAUCAUAUUUACCUCAGAAGGAGCAGGAACAGCAGCAGACAUCUAUAGAAUGGAUCAUUACUAGUGACCUGAAAAUUGUCUGUGAUCUACCCUGGAUUUAUGACAUUUUAGUUUACAGACAUGCUUGAUGUGGACAGGAUUAACAGGACAAAGACAGUUGUCUUUCAUGAUUGGUUUAUCUUAUCAGAGGUCCUUCGUUAAUACUUCUGUGCGGGUGAAACUAAAGACAAGUAUUUAUGUUACGUAAAAACACACAGAAAACUACAGUGCUCAGGAGUUAAAAAAAUAAUGACUUUCCUGUCUCAUCACUGUGGUAAACACAUUGGGACUUUUCUUCAGUCCGUCUUGGGAAUUCACUAAAUAAUGCUGGUGGGUAGGUCUAAUAUUCACCAGUUCAGUGUGGUGGUAUUCAAAUCUAGGACUAUGUUUCAAGUCUGACUUAAAACCUGAUUUCCAGGUCUUAUUGUGGUGAGACGCCUCCUCAUCCUGUUUUAUUUUGGCCGGACUUCCUGUUUUUCCCUGUUUGCCUGGUCUGGCUGUACUCUUUUUCCAGAGCUUCCUCCCCUCCCCCGGCGCUGAGGCUGAGUGAGACGACACACCUGCUCCUCAUCUCCAAUUAAGGGACUUUAAGAAGCCUGCAGCCCUCAGUCUCAGCGCCUGAGUAUUGUCUACCCUUCCUAGCGGUACAGACGCGUCUCCUGGCCUUCCUCGUGGUAUAACUUUGAGAACUUUGCUCCUAGUGACUCUUUUUCAUGUUCUCUAACUCCUGUCUCCUCUGGUUUCUCCUGCAGUGUCUCCAGCCCACACAACAGCCAGCCAACCAGCCAACCACCCGGACUUCCUUUGUUUCCUUAGCUAUCCCUUUCUGUUUUGGACAUUAAAUUCGCUUUACGUUGAUCCCUGUCUCAGUGUCUGCUUCUGGGUCCUCACUACGAGCUUGCCUCACAACAGAAUACUCAGGCCAGGAAAAUGGACCCAGCAGACCUAGACAGAGUUCAGCUAGCCGUCCAGAAGCUCGGCACGCGGCUUGGCCAACAUGAGGACAUGCUCCAGAGUCUCUACCAGUCAUUUCAUGGCCUCUCCGUUCAAAUGUCGCAGCUGGCUGAGCAACUACUCCCUCGGCCUCCACCGCAGCAAACAGGAUCUCCCCCCUCUGUGAGUACGUUCCCCUCUUCGCCUCCUCCACCACCCACUAUCCUCAAAGAGCCCUAUGUCCCUCCUCCUGAGCCGUAUGCUGGGGAGAUUGGGGGCUGCAGAGGUUUCCUACUCCGAUGCGCCUUAGUGUUUGACCAACAGCCCAUUAGUUACCCCUCAGAUCGAGCUAAGAUCGCCUACACCAUCAAUUUGUUAAGAGGUAGGGCCGCUAAGUCGGCUACGGCCGUCUGGGAUAGGGACUCACCUCUGUUCGCCUCUUACGCCCGUUUUUCAGAAGAGCUCCGUAGAAUAUUUGAUUUUCCAGUCGAGGGCCCCGAGUGCACAAAACGGUUGUUUUCCCUCACCCAGAGCUCUCGGUCAGUGGCGGCCGAGAGUGGGUGGGGGGAACUCGAGUUAAAAGAGGCAUUCACUCGGGGUCUCUCAGAACAAUUGAAAGACGAGCUAGCGGCUCGAGAUGAGCCUUCCUCCCUUGAGGAGCUAAUAGCGUUCGCUAUUCGUAUAGAUAAUCGCCUCAGGGAGAGACGGAGGGUGAAGGAAAUCCAUUCCCUGGUCCCUAAAAUAGACUCCCCUUCCUCUGUUGCAGUCAGCGGGUCUCCUCUGCAGCCCUCAGCUCCUCUGGCUCCGACACCCUCCACUGGAGAACCCAUGCAAAUCAGCCACACCUCCUCUACCUCCAGCUCCCCCAGGCGUAUCACAGUCCCUGCCUGUCUCCUUUGGGGAAAGGAAUCCACUUCCCUCCAAACCCUCAUUGACUCUGGGGCGGACGAUAACUUCAUUCACACCGGACUGGCAGCGCGGCUUCAGCUCCCCCUGGAGGAACUCCCGGUUCCCCGUAAGGUCACCGCUCUCGAUGGCAGAGUAAUAGCCUCCAUUACACACCGCACUGCUCCCCUCACCCUCAUCCUCUCCGGUAACCAUCGGGAGGACAUCCGGCUGUUCCUGCUUCCCUCUCCUCACUCUCCCCUGGUACUGGGACUCCCUUGGCUGCAAAUCCACAACCCUCAGAUUAACUGGUCCACAUCUUCAAUCUCCGCCUGGAGCCCUCACUGUCACUCCCACUGCCUCCGCUCCGCCAAUCCCUACAUCCACCGACAGAGGUCAGCAUCUCCACCGCCAUCUCUCACCUCGGUUCCCCCCGUUUACCAUGACCUGGCAAUGGUGUUCAGUAAGGAGCAGUCUCUUGUCCUUCCUCCUCAUCGCCCCUAUGACUGCGCCAUAGACCUGCUCCCUGGCGCACCUCUUCCCAGUAGUAGACUAUACAACCUCUCUCGGCCCGAACGAGAGGCCAUGGAGGAAUAUAUUCAAGACUCCCUGACCUCUGGACUCAUCCGACCCUCAUCUUCUCCCCUUGCUGCUGGCUUCUUCUUCGUGAAGAAAAAAGAUUCCUCUCUCCGUCCCUGCAUUGACUUCCGUGGAUUAAAUGACAUCACCAUUAAAAACAAAUAUCCCCUGCCACUCAUUGAUCCCUCCUUCGAACCUCUCUGUCAAGCCACCAUCUUCUCAAAACUGGACCUCCGGAAUGCCUAUCACCUGGUUCGCAUCCGGGAGGGGGAUGAGUGUAAGACUGCCUUUAACACACCCAUGGGCCACUUCGAAUACCUGGUUAUGCCCUUUGGCCUCACCAACGCCCCUGCUGUGUUCCAGACCCUCAUUAAUGAUGUCCUCCGUGACAUGAUUACCAAGUUCGCCUUUGUCUACUUGGACGAUAUCCUGAUCUUCUCCCGAAACCUGGAGGAACACCAGCAGCACGUCCGACUCGUCCUUCAGCGCCUCCUCGAAAACCGCCUUUUCGUGAAGCCCGAAAAGUGCGAGUUCCACGCCUCCUCCGUCAGUUUCCUUGGCUACAUCAUCGCCCAGGGGGAGCUACGCCCAGACCCAGAAAAAAUCCGUGCUGUCCGUGACUGGCCCACUCCCUCCUCCCGCAAAGACCUCCAGCGAUUCCUCGGCUUCGCUAAUUUCUAUCGACGGUUCAUUAAGAACUACAGUAAGGUAGCAGUUCCCCUCACCCGGCUCACAUCCCUCAAGGUUCCAUUCUCCUGGACCCCCGAAGCAGACGCCACCUUCCAUCAUCUCAAAUCCCUCUUCAUCUCCGCCCCGGUGCUCAAACACCCAGAUCCCUCACUUCAGUUCGUGGUGGAGGUCGACGCUUCGGACUCUGGAGUAGGGGCCGUCCUCUCACAGAGGGACUCUCAGACCCAGAAGCUUCAUCCUUGCGCCUUUUUCUCCCGGAAACUCUCAGCCACGGAACAAAAUUAUGACGUGGGAAACCGUGAAUUACUGGCUGUCGUGUGGACACUGCAAGAAUGGAGACACUGGCUGGAAGGAGCUUCCCAACCGUUUCUAAUCUGGACAGACCACAAGAACCUGCAAUACCUCCGCUCCGCUCGUCGCCUCAACCCAAGGCAAGCCCGCUGGUCCCUUUUUUCCUCAGCAGAUUCAAUUUCACCCUCUCCUAUCGUCCCGGCUCCCGCAACCUCAAACCAGACGCCCUCUCUCGGAUCCACGCCUCGGAUACCCCGGACCCCAGUGAACCAGACACCAUCCUCCCCGCCUCCUGUGUCGUUGGCUCCGCCACCUGGGAGAUCGAUACCAUCGUGGACCAGGCCCUCCGGAACCACCCAGACCCCGGAACCGGCCCGCCGGACAGAAAGUUCGUCCCUGAGGUCGCACGUUCUCAGGUCCUACAGUGGGGGCACUCCUCCAAGCUCACCUGCCACCCCGGGUUUCAACGCACCCUCCAAUUCCUCCAGCAGCGGUUCUGGUGGCCGGGGAUGGUCCGGGACGUACGGGCGUUUGUUGCUGCCUGCUCCGUCUGUGCCCGAAGCAAAGCCUCCCACCAACCUCCGGCUGGCUUGCUGCGUCCUCUGCCUGUGCCUUCACGCCCCUGGUCCCACAUAGCCAGUUUUCCUCUCAGGUCUGGAGAGCUUUCUGCCAGGCAGUGGGCGCAGCAGCUAGCCUCUCCUUGGGUUACCACCCACAGACCAAUGGCCAGAUGGAGCGGGCUAAUCAGAACCUCGAGUCGGCCCUGCGGUGUGUGGCGGCCCAUCAUCCAGCGUCCUGGAGUACGCACCUCCCGUGGAUCCAAUACGCCCAUAACUCCCUCACCUCUUCAGCCACAGGUAUGUCCCCUUUCAUGUGCUGUUUUGGGUACCAGCCCCCCCUGUUUCCCGAACAGGAGCAACCUGUGGCCGUCCCGUCGGUGAGGGAGCACAUUGGGCGUCUACGGGAGGUGUGGAGAUCGGCCAGGGCCGCACUCACCCGCACGGCCGAGCGCAACAAACGCCUGGCUGACGUUCACCGCUCUUCAGCACCAGACUAUCGUCCUGGUCAGAUGGUCUGGUUAUCGUCUCGUGACCUCUCCCUGCAGACUGAGUCCCGCAAGUUGUCCCCCCGCUUCAUUGGUCCCUUCCCUAUCCAGAAAAUCAUCAACCCUUCAGCGGUGAGAUUAAAACUUCCCUCAUCUCUCAAAAUUCAUCCCACAUUCCAUGUCUCCUUGUUAAAACCUGUUGCCUCGUGCACCCUGAGCCCUCCUUCCGUCGCCCCUCCACCCCCCCGAUUGAUUGAUGACCACCCUGCCUUCACUGUAAGGAAAAUCCUGGACGUGCGGCCUUGGGGGCGAGGCUUCCAAUACCUCAUGGACUGGGAGGGUUACGGUCCAGAGGAACGUUCCUGGAUCUCCCGCUCUCUCAUCCUGAAACGCCAACUCCUGGAAGAGUUCUACGCUGCCCACCCCAACAAGCCCGGCAGAACGCCAAGAGGCGUUCGUUAAGGGGGGGGGUACUGUGGUGAGACGCCUCCUCAUCCUGUUUUAUUUUGGCCGGACUUCCUGUUUUUCCCUGUUUGCCUGGUCUGGCUGUACUCUUUUCCAGAGCUUCCUCCCCUCCCCCGGCGCUGAGGCUGAGUGAGACGACACACCUGCUCCUCAUCUCCAAUUAAGGGACUUUAAGAAGCCUGCAGCCCUCAGUCUCAGCGCCUGAGUAUUGUCUACCCUUCCUAGCGGUACAGACGCGUCUCCUGGCCUUCCUCGUGGUAUAACUUUGAGAACUUUGCUCCUAGUGACUCUUUUUCAUGUUCUCUAACUCCUGUCUCCUCUGGUUUCUCCUGCAGUGUCUCCAGCCCACACGACAGCCAGCCAACCAGCCAACCACCCGGACUUCCUUUGUUUCCUUAGCCAUCCCUUUCUGUUUUGGACAUUAAAUUCGCUUUACGUUGAUCCCUGUCUCAGUGUCUGCUUCUGGGUCCUCACUACGAGCCUGCCUCACAACACUUAUGACUCAACUUGGAAGUUAUUCAGUGAGAUGUGCUGUUUGUUAAAAAGUGUGAGCUCCUUCUUCUCUUGGAUUCCUCUGGACUGUUAGCCGCAUCAUCUAUGAUUGUCCACCUCAAGCCCUGAGCUCCUUCUUCUCUUGGAUUCCUCUGGACUGUUACUGUUACUGCAGACACGUUAAUCAGCCUCACUGACAUUAUUGAUAUUAAUAACAUAAAAUAGAACUGACUACGAUUAAGCCUGCUAACUGUAAUCACACUCAAUUAAUUCAACAUUGUUUAUAAUCACUCAUAUCCUAACCCUGUAAACUGAACUCCUUUUUGUUUCCCCAUUACAUGAGCUGUUGUUGUUGUUGCUGUUGUUUCUGCUGCCCCCUGUCUCUCUCUCACCCUCCCUCUCCUUACUCAUUCUCUCUCGCCUUCCCCUAUCUUGUUCUCUCUCUCCCUCCCCCUGUCCUCUCCCCCUCUCCCCUCUUCUCUCUACAUCGCUCCCCAACCCAGCAGCGGCAUGGUGGCUGUCUAACAUGAGGCUGGUCCUGCCCAAGGUUUCUGCCUGUUAAAAGGAAGUUUUUCCUUGCCACUGCUACUCAUGUUAGUUGAGAUGGGCCAAAACCCAUCUUAGGUUGGUUCUUGAUCAUCAAACAAUGAGCGUGGUCCAGACCUGCUCUUGUUCCUUGAAAAGCGUCUUGAGAUGACGACUGUUGUGAAUUGGCGCUAUAUAAAUAAAAUUUGAUUGAUUGAUUGUUAAUGUCGGAUAAAAGAUCUUUGGAACACAAAUACUUAAAGGAUAACUUUUAUACCCAUGUUCACCUUUCAUUUGGUUAGUUUCAGACACCUACAGAGUAGUUUUGCAUAAUUUCCAUCUUAAACACUCUUCAGUCUUCUUACACUGGCGUUUGUGUACAUCCUCCUGUCAGCUUUGUUCUGCCUCUAUCUGAAAUGCUUCAUUUUGGUUGCUUUUCUACUUAUAGACAAAGUUUUGUGGGUGUUACUUUUCAUACAGCAUGAAACAUCGUGAAAGUCACGUCUUUACAGUGAACAUCUGAGCCUAGCAAUUAUCCACUCAACCCCCUCUUUUGGCAUAUGUUAGCUAUUAUUAGCCAUUGUUGCAUUAGCUGCUGCCUUAAUGUUCCAUCUAGCUUCUGGUUUUUCAUAGUGAUCUUUGAAGAUGAACAGCUCCAGGUGUCAGUACCAGCUCAGACUCAUAUCCAGCUCGUACUGGCCUUUGUGAAGCGAGCUCAAACAGAUAAGUUGUGGCUGUUCUUAAAACUUCAGGGAACCCUUCUGUUUUCUGCAGGAGACUUUCCUUUACAACCUAAAGUCUUCCGAUAAGCAAUAUUUAGAAAAAAUAUGAAAUCAGGGCUGUGCAGAGCAGAGCAAACGGACAAGUGAUGAAGCUGACUUCCUCUGUGUGGGCUUAAGGCUAAAACAUACAGGUUGCGUAUUUGGAGUGUGGCAGCACUCCAAAUGCGACAAGUCUAUUUUUUGCUGCUCUACGCUUUCAAUGUGUGUCAAUCUACACAGAGAAGAUCAUUCCACACAGAAAGUCAAGCAUGAAAACCACUCAUGUCAUCUGAUAUUUCAAAAUAAAACACCAUAUUCGGACUCCCGACUGUGAAUCCGUUUUUGUAGAUAAGAAAUCCUUCCUGGUUCUGGAUUUAUCAGUAACACAGAACAAUCCGAUGGUCAAUCGCUGAUCCAUGUAGACCCCAACAGGACAUUGAACUGCUAACUCUGUCUGAAAGUAACAGCACAGCAUAAAGGAACAUAGUUUACUUUAUUAAACACGUGUAAACCUGCAAAGAAUGAAACUGUAAAAUCACAUUGCUUUUUCACAUAUAGUAGAGCAGGUGUGUCCAAACUAUGGCCUGCGGGCCAACUGCGGCCCGUGGUCUAUUUUUAAUUGGCCUGCAGCAAAUUCUAAAUAUAUAAUGGAAUAUGGCCCACACGUGGAACUUGACUUUAAUGUACUUCCUUUUUUGACACUAGGGGGAAAAAAAUUCUGCGGGUGACCAGAAAUGGCAGAAUCAAAUAAACACAAGAUAGCAAGUGAGUGUAGAAAAUUUCAGACACGGUGGGAAAAUGAGUAUUUCUUCACAGAAGUCAAGGGGAAGUGUGUCUGUUUGAUUUGCAAUGAAACAGUUGCAGUGAUGAAAGAAUAUAAUGUACGGUGACAUUAUGAAACCAAACAUCAGACCUACAUGUCCUGCACUGGUGCCGAGCGUUAACAGAAAGUUAAACAAAUGACAGCUGGCCUGCAAGCUCAACAGCAGUAUUUUUCCGUGCUAAUAAAACACAAGAAAAUGCCACAAUAGCCAGCUACGAGGUAGCUCAGCUCAUUGACGGACACAAGAAACCUUUCUCAGAUGGUGACUUCAGAAAACAGUGCCUCACUAAAGCCGCAGGAAUAAUGUGCCCAGAAAAAAUGCAGUUCAAUAACAUCAGCAUGUGCAGAAACAUAGUUGCGCGGUGAAUCGAAGACGUGUCAGAUAAAGCUUGUGCUUUUGAUUUUUACUCCAUUGCAUGUGACGAGAGCACAGAUGUCACAGACACCACACAGCUGUUAAUUUUUUUGCGGGGAGUUGACAAUAACUUUUGUACCACAGAGGAGCUUCUUGAUCUUAGGAGUCUAAAGGGCACAACAACGGGUAAGGACAUUUUUGAAGCUGUGUCAGAUGCAAUUGACAUGAUGGGACUUAAAUGGGACAAGCUGUGUCGAGUUACAAUGGAUGGGGCUCCAGCUAUGGCAGGGGAGCGCAAAGGAAUGGCAUCUAUGGUAUGCACCAAGGUGCAAGAAAGUGGCGGUGAGGCUGUUCAGAUGCACUGCAUCAUCCAUCAAGAAGCCCUCUGUGCCAAGACAGUCCAGCUUGGCGAUGUGAUUUACACUGUGGUGAAAACAUAAUUCGAGCACGAGGGCUCUACCACAGACAAUUUCAAGCUUUCCUCUCUGAUGUUGAUGCUGAAUACAGGGACAUCAUUCAGAUGUGUGUUGGCUGAGUUGCGGCUCUGUGCUGCAGGGUUCUAUUCCCUGUGAUCAGAAAUUGACCAGUUUUUAAGAAAGAAAGAAAGGAUCGACCUCUGGUUGGCAGACCUGGUAUUCUUAGUUGAUCUCACUGAUCAUCUUAACACACUGAACAAGAGCCUACAAGGCAAAGACCAGCUUGUACCACAACUUUAUGCGCACAUAAAAGCAUUCUGUGUGAAGCUCCGUCUCUUUGUGACACAACUACGCAACUUUAAUGUUGCGCACUUCCCCAUGCUGUCCGAAAUCAAAUGCGCUUUUCCAGAGGCCAACCUUACUGCUAAAAAUGAGAAGUAUGUGUCUGUGAUCUCAUCUCUCAUAACAGAAUUCCGUCAGCGCUUCCAAGAUUUUUCUUCCAUUGAGAAAGAAAUCAAGCUGUUCUUAACUCCAUUCCUGAUGGAUGCAGAAGAAGUGGAAGAGAGUUUGCAAUUAGAACUCAUCGAAAUUCAGUGUGAUGAUUCUCUGAAGAAUCAACAUCAGCUUCUCUCCCUACCCGACUUCUACCGGAGCUUGGAAAAUACAAAGUUUCCGCUGAUGAGAUGGCAUGCAAAGAGAAUGAUGAAUCUGUUCGGCUCAGCAUACAUAUGUGAGCAAACAUUUUCUCUGUUAAAUCUGAACAAAAGCAGACUGAGAAGCAAAAUGACCAACAGCCAUCUCUGUGAUGUCCUUCGCAUCUCAACCACCAAACUUGCUCCUUAUAGUGGAGCAGACAAAUGCAUAAUAUAGCCCGAAUCGUUCACUUUGUUAUACAAGCAUGAAAUUUGGUACAAAUACUCUUCAAACCCCACUCUUUUCAAAAAUAACGUUAGCCACACAAAAUUCCAAGAUGGCAGCCCCAAAAUCCAAGAUAUCCGCCCCAAAAAUGUGUUUUUUCCUUUAUAACUCAAAAUGACUUGAUUUUAAGCCCCAUACAUAUAUUGAAGUUGAAUAUAAAGUUGGGUAUUGCGGACAUUUUGGUACCUAGUACAUUUCUGUAUCCAUUACGGUUCUUGAGAUACAGCCUAUUGAUACUUGUACAGAGAGUGAGAAAUUUGUAACACUGAUUGUUGUUACGUGCAUAUGGUUAUAUGAAAAUAUCAUUUCCAUUAUCUGUUAUUUUCAUUAGGGUUAUAACAUUAAAUUUGAAAAACAAGAUGGUGUCCAAGAUGGCUUUCAUUGCCUUGAAGUAAUCCGAUCUUAGUGACUAUGAAACAUUAACUUUUGGCAUGCACAUAUUUUUGGUCUAUGCAUCCAAUGGGGCCAUUGCAGUACAGAAUUUAGAUGUUUAUACAGUACAAGCUUGCAGAUAUAAUAGAGUGAACAUCGGCACACAACCAGGGCACACUGGUGAUUUCACUGCUGUGUAACUGUGUGACAAAAAAAUUUCCCCCAUGGGGGAUCAAUAAAGGAAUAUUCUAUUCUAUUCUAUUCUAUUCUAACUCAGCAUGACCUCCAGGAGUUCUUUAAGCAUGAGAACCAGUCCUUCCCUGUUGCAUUGAGCAAGGGUGGAAAAUUGUACACUUGCCAGAAGUCUCAGCUGACCCCUAUCCUUGAGAAUUAUGUCCCACCAGUUGACAAGGAACCUGAGGCAGACGUUCUCAUUGCAGAUGGGUCAGCUUUGGACCACGCCCUGCCACCAAAAUGAUCCAAGACUUUGAGGACUAUGCAGCUCUCGACUUCCUACCUGUGAUCUACAUGUACUCCAGCAAGUACACAAUGAUACAUCUGGUCUUUGAUGUGUAAAACCCAUCAAGCCUUAAAGCUGAGACCAGGUCCAAAUGUGGCCAGGGGGGGAGACGCAAGGUAACGAAUAAGAACACCAUGCUAUCUAACUGGCAUAACUUCCUGAGGCACAAUGACAACAAAACAGAGUUGUCCCACCCUUGCCGACAAGGUUGCACAAAUGUUUGCCCUAAAUACCAUCAUCGUCACAAAGUGACCUGCUGUCCUCAGCACUCGUGCAACUGGUCUUGAUGGACUGGAUAAAUGCUCUCACAAGGAAGCGGACAGCCACAUCUUUGUGCUCACCAAACAUGCAACUGGUAGCCAAUCCAUCAUGAUCAAGGCAAAUGACACAGAUGUUCUGAUCUUAGCAAUAAGUGUAUUCAGCGGUCUCCAAGAGGCUGGCCUACAGCAUAUGUGACUUGCAUUUGGGUUAGGUCAGACUCUGCGCUGGAUCAGUGUGCAUGACAUAUUUCAGCAUGUUGGCCAGGAGAAGGUCAAAGGCAUGCUCUUCUUCCAUGCCUUUACAGGAUGUGACACUGUGUCUGCCUUCCGCAACAAAGGCAAGAAAACAGCUUGGCAGACAUGGGACAUAUGUCCAGAAUCCUUGCCUGUAUUCGCCAAACUGGGUAUUUACCCUUCCACAGUGGAGGACUGCGACAUAGAGGUGCUUGAGAAGUUUGUCAUUCUCAUGUAUGACAGAACCAGCACAGCUGCUACUGUGGAUGAGGCCAGGCUUGACUUGUUUGCCAGAAAGCAGAGGCCCUAUGAGUCUAUCCCACCAACCAGAGCAGCUCUACUCCAACACAUCAGGCCUGCUGCCUAUCAGGCUGGUUGUGUGUGGGCCCAGGCAACCCAGUGUCAGUGUCACCCAGUGAAGCAGAGGACCCUGCAGACUGGGGAUGUCAAAAGGUUGGUGAGGAAUGGCAGGUCUUCUGGACAGCCAACUCUCCAAUAGCCAAGACAUGCGAACAGCUCACCAAAUGUGGCUGUAAAUCUGGCUGUUGUGGCAGGUGCAAGUGCUACAAAUUGGGUCUCAUGUGUACAGCUCUGUGCAGUUGCACUUUACUUUUACUCGAGUAACGUAUUGACUAGGCUACUCUUACUUGUAGUGGAGUAAAUUUUGACCAGGAGUAUUUUUACUCUUACUCAAGUACUGGGGUCAAGUACUCUGUCCAUCUCUGUGUAGGGGACACAGCAAACAUGUGGAAGAAGGUGCUCUGGUCAGAUGAGACCAAAGUCAAACUUUUUGGCCUGAAUGCAAAGCGCUAUGUAUGGUGGAAAAGUAACACUGCUCAUCACCCUGAACACACCAUCCCCACUGUGAAACAUGGUGGUGGCAGCCUCAUGCUGUGGGGAUGCUUUCUUCAGCAGGGACAGGGAAGCUGGUCCGAGUUGAUGGGAGGAUGGAUGGAGCUAAGAAGAAAACCUGUUGGAGGCUGCAAAAGACUUGAGACUAGGAAAGAGAUUCACCUUCCAGCAAGACAAUGACCCUAAACAUACAGCCAGAGCUACAAUGGAAUGGUUUAGAUAAGAAAAUAUUCAUGUGAUAGAAUGGCCAAGUCAAAGUCCAGACCUAAAUCCCAUUGAGCAUCUGAGGCAAGAUUUGAAAAUUGCUGUUCACAGACGCUCUCCAUCCAAUCUGGCUGAGCUUGAGCUAUUUUGCAAAGAAGAAUGGGCAAAAAUUUCAGUCUCUAGAUGUGCAAAGCUGGUAGAGUUAUACCCCAGAAGACUUGCAGCUGUAAUUGCAGCGAAAGGUGGCUCUACAAAGUAUUGACACAAGGAGGCUAAAUACAAAUGCACACCACACUUUUCAGAUUUUUAUUUGUUUAAAUUUUUGAAAAACAUAUAUAAUUAUUGUUCCACUUUACAAUUAUGUGCUACUUUGUGUCGGUCUAUGACAAAAAAAAAAAGUUUGUGGUUGUAGAGUAACAAAAUGUGAAAAAGUUCAAGGGGUAUGAAUACUUUUUCAGGGCACUGUAUAUCCAAAUUAGCAGGAAAUAGACCACAGAAAGGCAAAACAACCUGUUUUGAGCAUGUUAUUUCUUCUAUACUGAGUCCAGCUGACCAGGGCUGCACUAUGAUGCUACCACGCUCGAAGUACGCGUCCUGUGUGCAAUACCCGGUGCAGCUCUACAGAGCAAAUACGAAACGCGCUAAAUAUGAAUCCUGUAUGUUUUCAGCUUUACUCUUUAGCAUUGCCCUAAUAGGACAAGGCAGCUGUGACUCAAUAGUAGAGUCUGUCUGAAAGUCAGGAGGUGAAUGUGUUACAAUUCUGAUUAGCUCAAUAAAACUCCUUUAACUUACAGAGGAUAAACUUGCAAAAUAAAAAGGCAGUAACAAAAGGCAGAGCUGUUCCCCACAAGCCCUUUAAUAACGCUAUCAUGUUAGCACUGAUUGUGAAUACACAUGGUGUCCUAGGGUUCCUCUUCAUUUAACACAUCUACCUUCCUCUUCUAUUAAGCAUAAAGAAAAAAAAAAUCUAUACAACUUUAACUUGUGCUCAUCACUACAGCAGGGCACACAUGCUGCUAUUAUUGAUGUGGAACACCCCUAAGUCUCAAUGCCUACGUAAGAAAAAGUAGAUACACUCAAUAAAUGUUAAUUUAUUUAAAUUUGGUGCCACUGUAGAGUUUUGUAUUCCUCCCUAUGAGGCAUAUUUUAAAACCAGCACAGAGAGAGAUCAAUGCAUCUUCCCACGGGUAACUGCAGAGGAACAGAGCUUGCAGGUGGAUUCUGAGUUGGAGGUGAAGGUGGGGCGUGAUCUGCAUAGGCAGCAUAUCAGACCCUAGGCGGGCUGUAGGAGCUGCAGAAAUAGGCAGCAGGGCUGACUGAUGAUGUCAUAUCUGUCAGCAUUUAGUGAACAGGUACAGAUAUUCCCCACCUCCACACAUCAGUUUCAACACCACAAGAGGCAAAACUUUGUGCAAGAACUUUCCACAAACCAGGAUGGAUACAGGGAGCUUUCACUGCAGGUAGAACAGCUGCAAAACAACAGCCUGACAGAAAAAAAAAAAAAAAGGUUACUCAAACACAGCCUUGCAAAUAAUCAUCCGAAUUUAUAUACAGCUUCAUCACAUACAGAGACAUAUACAGCCGACAGGACUCAUAGCUGCACAGCUCUGCUGUAUGAUGCUGCAGCAUCCUCUUCCUCUCAUUUUCUGGUGUAAAUGAGUGACAGAUGUCCUAGCCUCUUUGGUUUGGUGAUAAAAUUCAUUCAGCUUCGACAACAUUGAGUACCGAUCAAAGACAUAACUAUAAUGUCAUGGAAAAAGAGUGAUAAACAUAUCAUUUCAAUCUUUCAUGAUGUCAGUCUGGGGCAGCUAUAGAAGAGCUCUAUUCAGCCUCAGCCUUCUUUCUGCUGCUUUCCCACUGAUUCAAAGCUUAAAGGACAUUGCUUUUUGCACUGCUUUGUGGUUAUGAAAGUCCAAAGGUUAUCCUUUUACAGACAAUACCAUUAGUUUCCACUUAGCCUACACAAGCUGCUAUCACAGCAUUGUUUAAACAGUUCUCAGUGGUCUUGAAAUUGUGAUUAUGAAGUUUUUAGCCAAAACCAGGUUACCUGUGUCAUUUUUAAGGGCUUUUCUUCUGCAGAGUUUCAGUAGCUCAUUAGCAAUUCGCCUCUGAGUCUUGGGCGGAGAUGGCGCUGCUCUGCACACUCUGCUUCACGCUAGCUUGCAGCUACCGCACAUUCUUGAUCCGCAGUUGUCCUCUUUAUUUCUCAGAGUCUCGCCUGCAUAGCGUGGCUCCAGAGACGGAACUUUAAAUUGUGAAGUAGAAAAUCCCACUGUGUCUGAGCCUACUGUUUGGGUCUGUUAGAGGUUCACAGAGAUUUGAAUGCAGAAAUACUCAGAAAUGUAAUUUCACACUUACUUUUCUAUGUCCUGUAGCAUCAGGAAAUGCCAUAUGAACAGGUAGACAACAAGAAAAACAUGAUUUUCAUUGGAGUGGGUCUUUAAUGUUUACAGAAGGUGAAACAGCUCAAGGUCUCAGUGACUGUUGAGACUCAAAUCCAGCUCGUAGUGUACUUUUACAAAAAACGGCAUCAGUAAAGUGGAGGGCACAAAGAGCUACGUACCUAUUGUUGCAAGUCCUCUCAACAUGAGUGUCAGCCACAGUCAAAUCUUUAUCACUGAUAUUUUCUUCAAAGGGACUUGGUAUUUCACUCCUGCCUUUAUGAACCUGUGCUUACUGUGUGGAACUUUUUAGACAUGCAGAAAACACACCUUUUUUAUGGCUGUUGAAUUUUGACUGGUCCAGUCAGCAUGUCUGGAGACUCAAAGUGACAAUAAUACUACAGUGUUGUAGAUAAGCUCUGCACCUUUUCUCACUUUCUGUGGAGACACACUCACUGAUACUGCUGUAGUGGCAUGAUGAUGCACUGCAGGUGUCCAGAAGUACCUAUUACCCUCCUGAUAAAAUCCAACCAAGCUGAUUCCACUCCAGCAUAAACCAGAAUAAGAAAAAAGUGCACACUUCUUACUAGCCCCUUCAGCCAACGUAAAACUGUUGCUGAACAAGACGGCAUAUAAACGCACAUGCCAGCCCCCACUUUAAACUGAAUAAAUGAACAGGGCCUCAAGUAAAAACCCAACAAAAUCAAUAAAAAAGUUUUCAUCAACAACUAAGUGUGAGUCCUCCACUCUAUCCCAUGAGUUCCAAAGAAGUCAAAGCCCUAUUCCAAGUGCAAGUUCUAGUCAUCAGUCCUGAAAAUCUGGACUUUGAUUCCUGGACUUGAGUACAGCAGAACUGAAGCUAUGCCCACUUUAAUGCUAAGGACAGAUGGCUGCUUGCUGCCUAGCAACAGUAACAACAUAUGGCUCACUACUACUUUAAAAAAUUCAUGACUGGGUGGUGUGCGCAUUGACUCUUAAAGUUUGACUAUAAAUCUACUUUUUUUUUACAGAGAGCUAAAAAGUAUGAACCCAUCACUGAGUGAUAUGAAUAUUGCCUCAGUAAUAUUAAUAAGUUAACUAUGUCCCUCUGCUAUGAAACACCAUUAAGUGCAAGUGCAUAAAAACUAAUCCUAAAUCCAAAUUAUCACAUGAAUACAACCAUCCAGCAAAUCCUUGGAGGUUACUGCAGAAGGAAAGGGCCAUUGGCACAGUGAUUUCCCUGAGCUCUAACCCAUUUGGUUCAAGUAAAUAAUGGAUAAAUGAGUCUGUGAGGGUCUGUUAUGAAUGAAACAGUGUGAAAGGAAACUGAGCACAUUUGUAUGCAGCAGGACCAGUGCCAAGCUGUAGUACCAAUACCCUUUAAACCAAUUGGAUUCUGGUCGAACAGUCUCUUCUAAUUUUACAGCCCUGCAGCCUCACGGCACUGAUGGCUUGUUCUUGCUCGUGCCAUCCGCGGCCUGUUCAACGAUAAUCUAUUACUUGCCUCCAUUCAGAGACUGUAGGGCUCUCAUUGAGACGCCAAGGUUCGGUGAAUGCUUGUAUGCUGGCGCCAAGAGACAGUGUUUGCACAAAUGUAUCCCCUCCAAUAAUGUAAGCCUGUGUGCUCUAUUGUUACAUCUCUGUGUCUCCCUCACUGUCAAUGAUUGUUCUGUUGUAGGGCGCACCAUACAAUACCCCAAUGUCCCCAAUCCUGAGUGCAUUACCAGCCAUCUGACUCAGAUGGUGGUCUUUGAGGAGGAUUUGAUUAAACUUUCUCUCUGGUUCUUGGACUCCUUCCCUCUAGUAUUGAAGUUUAAAAUUUACAUCUAGAGUCAUAAUAACAUUUAAAGAUGUGGAUACGCUCUGUAAAUGGAAUUAGCUCCACACAUUUGAGGGUGACAGGUGCAGGAACACCUGACUGCACCUCUAGAGUGACACUGACUGACACCAGAAAUAAGCAGACAGCUCUGCUUUUCAUCGAGGUUAACAGCUUAAAACGCUUACCUCACUGAAAUAUUCCUGAAGACUGAAGCGUCUGCCUUCACUCACACUGACAGAGUACCAAUGUGUCACUGAGCUGCAUGAGUGAUGCCAUCCCCAGGAUGGAUGUCAAGGUGAUAAAUCGUCACACUCUCCAUCUCUUUCUCAGACAUAAGUUGUGUUGACUGUGAGUAAUAAGAGGCCAUAAAAUCUGACAUAUCAUACAUUUCAGUGACACAACAAAAAUAAAAUAACUUUAACUGUGCUGCACUGUUUUCACAGUUUUAAAGCUCCAUCAGUUCCUCUGUAUGGUGAAGGGCACUUUGGCUGGCACAAUUUACAAUCACAAUUUACAAAAAGUGCCUGCAAAUUACAUAAAUAUUAAGGAGAAGAGGACGCACCCUCUGAUCAUCAGCAGCUAAUAAACUGAAGCUUAAUUUUCACAACCAAUUUGACUCCCUGAUUAUUGUAAUUCAUCACUUUGGGUCUCAGGGAUCACUGAGCAGCAUUAAGCUCUGAUGUUGUAGCCUGCAGGUAUGUUGUUGUGAUAAAUGGCUUAAUCACCUGAAGCAGAGGAGGCUACACCUUAUGAGUAACACUGGGAUUAAAAAGUUAAAGUUUAUUCACGACUUAAUCUUUAGCUGGGAUCACUUUGAUAAAUACUCAGCCUUAAGGGAGGAAUCAAACACCGAGGAAGACUUCCAAUGUGUGAACGUGUCAGCCCCAAAGAGGCCGAUUGUUUGAAGAAUAACAACAGAGCAAGGCUUCUCCUUUUGUAAUUCAUCACAAUAGAGUCUCUGUGGACACCAAUGUAUUAGGACUGUCUGUUUAAAUGCAGAUACUGUCUCACCUCUGGCAAGUCCAAAGCAGCAGUAUUUCCAAAUGCCUUAUUUAACUAUUAACAGCUUGCACAGACAAAUGGUGCUCUCACUCAUGUAAUACAUCAUGGUGAACAGCACAGGCACUUUGCAAAUAUUCUGCAAAAGACCAAGAAGUUUCACUCUGCUGGGGCUCCAAUUUAAGAGCAAUUUACUGAUUUUCUCAAGCAGGGGUGUAUUGAGUGGAAGAAAUUAACCAAAGUAAGACUAUUUUUCAGUUUCACACAGAAUAUAAACACGUUUUCACUCCCAAAUCAUGAAACUUUUCCAAAUAAGAGAUGGAGCCUAGGGAUGCAUUACUUACAUCAGUUGAAUUGAUAUCCAUUAAGUGGUUAGACGGAAGAAAUAUAGUGCUGUAUGAAUGAGGUGACUGACACUGGACGUUAAAAAUAUAUGUUAAUUGGAAUCACACCAAAUCUCAUUUCUUGUAGUUUGACUAACAACAACAAAAAAAUAGUAGUUUGGCGUGGAUUUACUUUUAUGUGUUCACACCUUAAUUGAACCGAAACUGGCCCAUGUAAUCUAUCUAUGCUCCACAGUUUGCAUGAAGGCCUUUGACCUUGAAGCUAGCAUUAUUGUUCUGAAGCCAGGAAAUAAACUAAAACCUUUAAAGAAAAAGAAGAAAUGUAGGAGUAAUUAAGAAUACCCAUACUAAACAGAUAAAGACCUGUAAAACUGACUGUGUUUCCAUUGUUUUACAUACAACAGGUUUGUUGGUUUGGUGUGUGACAUCAUAGUUCAACUAGGAGAAGGCCCAUUAAUGAGCUGAAAGGGGGUAUGACACCAUCUACCAUUGAGAUGGUAGACACACUCCUCAUUUCCUCCUGAUGUUUAUGAACAAGAACUGUAGUCUAUUAAAACCACCUAUCUGAGCCAUGACCUUCUUUAACAAAUAUUACAUUCAUGUUAGCCUUUCCAGAUUUUGGUUAAAAUUCUUCCACACUUGAGUAAUUAAAAACCAUCUUCACAAAAAGUUCGACUUUUUUACUUUGUACAGAAUACUCUCCACUGUAUCAAAAAUCCUCCAGGAGUGGGCAGCUACUGUAGAGCUUCAACAGUGGAGAUUUCUUGUUUAACCAACAGUAGGAAAAGAAGGUAAGUAGGCUUUCAUUAUUUGUCUUUGGUUAUAUCUGUCAGUUCAUGAUUUGAAUCUCAUCCAGUAUGACUUUUCAGAUUUGUGAGGUACCCCAGCUUGAGGUGUUACCUCAUGCUGACUUCUGUCCUUCAGUCCUCCUUUGUAACAUGCAUUUCUCUUUAAAAAUGUCACAAUAUAAUCUAAACACACAAUUCUCUAAAUUAGUGGUAAUAUGCAGGUUUGAGCUUUAUCGGAAAGGUACAAUGACUAUCCCUCCAUUAUCGAUUCCUCCAGCAGGCUGAAGCCUGUUGUGGGUGUCAUAGGGUACAUUUUUCGACAGAAAGCCAGUCUGUCAUGGCGCUGAUUUACAUAAAUAUAUAUAUAGAGAGAGACAGAGUGAGAGGAAAAAAAAAAAAAAAAAUUGUGCACUACCUAAAGGCAGAGUGACCAAUCAACUCUACAGAUACAUGGGACAAACGUGAACAUGCGUAUAUGGACUCCACACAGAAAAGCCCCACAGAAAGGAUUCAAUGAUAAUCAAAAAAAUAAAUCACAAAAAGUGAUGUCCACAUUCAGGAUGUGAAUGUUCGACAUUCAAGUGUGUCACUUCAUUUUGUGGCUCUGUUGACUGGUGAGACGCACGGCAGUUUCAUUCUUUGCAGCAGCCCAAUGGUGCUUGUUCGGGGAUUGCAGCAGCAAGUUGACAGGUUCAUCAGUCAGAAUGUAGCGUGUUUAUAAAAUAUCAUCUGUAUAGAGCCCACAGGUGCCAGGUCAGAAAAAAAAAGCUAUAUGCUGAGAAAUUUGCUUGCAGCUAAUAGUUGUUGUUUUUUUUUGAUUGACCUCACACAUGGGCCCCAAACAUGUGCUUUUAUGCAGAGACUUAACUGUGCAUCCAUAGGAGACGGGGGUCACCCACUGAAGCCAAGGCUGAUGACACUGAUCCUCCACACAUCAGAAUCUGGUUUAUAAUGAAGCCCACGCAGUGAGUCAGACUUUUACAGAGCACAUCAGUGGUGAUCUCAAUGUGUCACAACACCACUCACAGAAGUCCACAUCAGUCUCUGGAUCUGAGGGGUUAUCGUUCUCUUUCUUUCCGUGAGCCACACACACAUAAAGCACAUAUGCAUGAUCUAUAUUUAGUGGUCAUUCGCUAUUCAUGGGUUACCAUUUAUGGUGAUUACAGACCAGCAGGGGCAAGCUGUCGAUUAACGAAUAAAUAUCAUUCAUGAACACGUGCAAAUUUGAGUGUUUAAAUGUUCCAUGGUGACCGAUUGAAAACUGCUGGGACAGCAACACUGAGAAAAUUUGUUGCAUCAUUUCUCUUGCAUGUGGUAUUGAAAUAUUAAAACAUGUUUUGUGUGGUGGUAGCUUUUGUUUACACUUCCAUACCAUGAAGCAACAGCAGCAGCAUUGUCUAAAAUAACAGUCUCUACGGGACAUGCCCUGGUGUUUGAGAGCCCACUGUGAAAAUAACACUGAACACACUUCACUCUAGCUCUGCCUGAUAUCAAAAUGGCUUCAAGUGAAACCUGAACCAAACAUGCUCUCAACAACAGCUCUUCAUGUUCGUAACAAAACUCUUCAGCUGUGAGAUUCUCACUUGAACUCCUCUGCUGACUGGAACAUUUCUGUUUGAGUCCUUUUGAUUAGAAAGCCACACAGAGGCUUUGAUAAACAAAGCCAUCUUCACACAUUCAGGCACAAAGACAUGGUAGACUAUUGAAGAGAUAUAAUAUUUAUGACAACUAGACAAGUUUGCAUGCUAAUUAUCACCCCCCUCUCACUUGUCAGCAUAAUAUGCAUUCACUUUCUCUAAACCCAUCUCUCAACACAAGCUAACUGUACAUAUGGAAAAAGACAUAAGGAUGAGGUGGUGGCAUAAAUCUGAGGAGAAUCUCCAGACAAAUUAGCUUUUCUUCCUCCCUUUACUAAGAGUCUGAAUUAUAUACUGUAUUGAUACUAAAUAUACACUGUAAAAUCCAAUUAGUUAUCAUUACUUAGAAAAAGCAUGCAAACCUGUUGCACUUAAAAAAAUAAGUAAAAUGAGCUAGGUAUUUUGAGUUGUACUAACUAGUGCUUCCUUAGUAGAGUACACUUAUAAAUUAGUUAAAACAACUAAAACAUUAAAGGGGACCUGCCAUAAAAAUGUAAUUUUGUGUGUUUUUUGUGUCAGAUAAGGUCCAUAUUAUGUUCGUCUUAUGUUGUAAAUGUGAAAACAAACCAUUACGUCGUUUGCAUUCUAUGAAGGUUUAAAAUAAAGGAACAAGUAAACCAGGCCAAUUGAAAAAGCAGGUCGGUGUUACGUUGCGCCGACCUUGCUCAUUAUUAUUCACGAGCGCGUCCAGGUGAGCCGUGCCCACUCUCUCGUUCUCGUACUCAGUCACAGCCAGAGCGAGACCCAGCUAUCACUGUAUCCGCUAUGGGUCUCUUCCAAACGACCGGUGUUUCCUUCGGUUCACUGCCAGGAAAAUGAACUUAAAGCUGGGCAGAAUGAAUGAGAAAACACUGCUUGAGAUCUCCGGCUUCUUCCUCAACUUCCACCUCCUCUUCGGACUCGGGGUCUAAAAUAUAUGGUUUAAUACCUGCCGUUUUAGCCUUUAGCAUAAGAUGACCAGACGUCCCCGAUUUCCGGGGACAGUCCUUGUAUUGGAUGACCUGUCCCCGGCAAAAUCUGUCCCCGAUUUAAGCGUUUCAUGAAUGAGAGCAAAAAUGUUGCGUGUGGGCUCGAACAACGGUUAUUACAGUAGCCGAAUAGGUAGGAAGCACAAGUUAGCAGUCCUGAACAACAGUUCUUAUGGGGGUUAUUACAAGGGGCAUGCGCUACUACUAAAUAGUACUGAGACUUUGUCUGUGAGCACACAGCUCCUGCAGCCCCUGCACCGCCGCCGCAUCGAAUAUCCCCGGAUAUCAUUACAGACAUCUGGGCACCUUACUUUAGCACACAUUAGCAUAUGCUAUUAGCAUUAGCAUAAUAACAGUGUAUAAACCGAAAUCCGAACCUCCACUGCUGAGCCAAUCAGAGCACAGCAGGCUUCACAGCAGCGAUCCAAUCAGAGCAAAGCUCAUUACCAUAAAUGUUAAUGAGCCAAAACCAGUUGGCUUUCCUGUAAGGUUUUUUUAGGCAUACUAAAACAAACCAUCAAAUAACUUUUCAGCUAAAAUUAUGUUGCAAACAUGAUCAUAGGACAUCAAGGAUUAUGAAAAAAUGAUAAAAAUGGGUAUGAAAUUUUGGUGGCAGGUCCCCUUUAAAGUAGAGUGUACUUGAUAACUUACUUCAGGUGUACUUUUGACUUAGUAAAGACUACUAAGAAUUACUAUUUUAAUCUACUUAGUCAUUGCGUGUGAGAUUUACUCUUUGUUUAGUAAGUAUAACACACUUAUCUAAGUUAAGCUAACUUAACAUUUCUAAAUUAUAUUUAUUUGAACAGCUAUCUGAUUUACUUGCUAAAAGCAAUAAAGUUUUACUUUAUCAAUAUAAGAGGCUCGAAUAUCUAUACAGGAAUGAAAACAGGUUCCAAUCUUCUAAAAUAAUCUGAAUCACAAUUAAACAAUAAAUCAAGGUAAUAACACAGUUGAAAGUUCAAUUAUAACAAUUGCUUUUAUUUUUCUUCUAUUUAUAUCAACUUUUUAAAGAUUGCCUGAAUGACAUUUGUAAACACAGCUUUCUGUAAUUUUUUGGUUAAAAAAAAAAAAAAAAACAGCAACAUGCUGACAAGUGCACUUUUGUAUUCCUGAGUAAUGUUACUCAAAAAUCAGUAAAUAAAAUGUAUAAAAAAAACCUGCUGUCAAGUGCAAAGUGGCUUCAAUGAGCUCAAAAACCUGAAAGGGUAAUAACUAGCAAUGGAGCUCAUGAGUGUGAAUGGAUACAAACAGAUAUACAGCCUCUAGUAACUUGUUGAUGAACCCAUAAUUUCAGUGGAGGCUCUUAUUUUAGUGAACAAUAAAAAAACAGCAGAAUCCACUCCUACAUUUGCAUGCAUGUUCUAAGUCAACAACAGAUUUUUGAGACUUUGCAAUUUUGGUGGGAGUUUGUUCUCUCCCAAGCCAAGCAACACUCUUUGAAUGAAUCUGAAAGUGUUUUUCAUGGUUCUAGGGUAGUCCAAAUGUAAAGCGUAUGACAGCCCAAACAAAAGGCAAAGUGCCUCAGGUAGGUUCUGGAGAUCAUCCAUUACAAUACCUCCCUCAACAAUGAUGGCAGUAGACACUGGGUGAAGGUGGAGCAUGUUUGGAAUGAGUAUCUCAUUUUCGUUGACAACAGUCAGCAGCCCGACAGACACUUAUGCCCAGGUCUCAUCAGUGUCACAAUCAUGUGAUGAAACCAAACAAAAACCAUCACAUUACAUCAAGGACAUUUUUUAAAUCCUCAAUUCAAAAUUUUCACCAUUUCAAGUGUCCUGUCCAGCCUUGUGCAUUAAAGAAAUACUCAAAUGAUCUGGGAGUUGACUGUGUAUCAUUUUCAUAGUGAGACAACAUGAUCAAUAACUUUUUUUGUGUCUGUACGUCAGGACACAGAAUAAACAGAGUGCAGGUUUGCUUCAUGUGAAAUUGUUAAAUAGGUUAAAAACAUGGACAAAGCUCUGUUAUUUUUUAUAUUUGAUCAGCGUUGUUACAGCCACUUGUGCAGGCACACAAACAUUUGUUAGAGCUGAUGGACAGUGGUGAUCUGAUGACGCUGUCAUCACUAAAAAGCGUCACUUCACAUGACGCUCUGGAGGAAAGGACAUCUCAUUUCUCUAAAAACAAAUCUCCUCUAUGCUCUGUUCAUUUUCUCCAUGCAUCUCUGGUGGGAGGGACAAAGACGCAAGUGGACAACACAUGUGGAGGAAGGAUGGGACUUACUUGUUUUAGGAUUUAUCCUAUAUCAAUCUAGAAAACAAAGAAAACAAAGUAUUUCUGCUUUAUUUGAUAAUGACUGUGGAACCAACUUUCUCCAUGGAUCAGAGAGGCAGACACUCUCUCCACAAUUAAGUCCAGGCUUAAAACCUCCUUCUCUUCUCCUCUACCUUUUACCUUCUCUUAUCCUCUCCUCUUCUCAUCUCCUUCUCCCCUCCCUGUCUCCUUUUCUUUUCCGCUCCCAUAUCUUUUUUUUCUCCUCUCCCUAUCUCCUUCUCUUAUCCUCUUCUUGUCUCCUUCUCUUUUUCCCCCUCUCCCAUCUCUUUUCUUCUCCUCUCCUCAUCUCAUUCUCAUCUCUUUUUCUUCUCCUCUCUCUCCUUCUCAUCCCAUCCUCUCACCAUCUCUUUCUCUUCUCCCCCUCUCUCCCUCUCAUCUCUCAAUCUUAAUUUAUAAAGCACAUUUCUAUAUGCAAUGUGCUGCAUAUGAUAGAAAGGCACUGCAACAUAAACAAAAAGCACAGGACAACUGUUCUGGCAUGCAGCGGUCCUUCCAAAUCAAACCCCAGAUGCUGUGGUUUGGACUCAUCCUUGAUAUAUAAUACAUCUCUGUCAGAUGAACUACCAGGCAUACCAAAUGCAUUUAAAACAUAAUACUAUUUUUUCUUUUCUAAAUCGUAAGUAAAAUAGGCAAGACUGGAGGGUCUGGCAGCUCACCUGGUAGAGCAUUUAUUACAUGUAGAGGUUAUGUCCUUACCAUAGUGACCCUGGAUUUGAAUCUGCCCUGGGUUAUUUGCUGGUUGUCAUCCCUUCUCUCUUUCCCCCUCUUAAAUAACUCUGCUUUUGGACAUGAAAGGUAUUCCUCUCACGUCACAGGAGCUAACUGGUUACUUCACCCCUUCUGGUUUACACCAAACUGUCAGCUAGCAAGCAGCCCAUGCCAAUGUUUGGACUGAACUCAUGGAUAUAUUCAGUAUUACUUUUUUUCUUAUCUAGGUCUCAUUGAGACACUGGUAAAUACAAAUAAAAUUUCCCUAUAACUAUGUAUGUUUCUUAAAGAUGUUUCUAUGAGAACUUACGAAGCAGGUGUUGUAGAAGUCAUUGGUGUCAUCACCAAGUAGAACAGGGAGGCCUUGGAGUACAAUGGUGCGCAUUGCUGUCACAUCUGGUUUCUAGAAGUGGAUGAUGAAUAAAUCAAGCUCUAGAUAAUGCAGCAUUCAAAAGCUACAGCACAAAAAUGCCUUUAAAAGUCUGAAUGAAACAAGUGUCACAACUGACUUACUGAUUUUACUGAGAAUUAAUUUUUAAGAAACACUCAAUCCACAACUGUAACAGAAAGUACCAACAUAAGUUUGAUGGUGGUUGUACUUAUAUUGUACCAUAUGCACUGUAUAUUUCUUGCGAUAAUUCCUCUGAGUUCAUCAGUGGAGGCAAGUUGGACACCUGUGCUGUGAUCAGACACAGCUCUUUCAUAUCAGUCUCUCCUUACUUCCAUCGGGAGGACAAACAGAGAUGUUACAAAUGUUAGACUGACUAAUCAGGAACAUUCCACCCCCCACUCACUUAAAUCCAUAACACCUGUUCACAAUAUAGCAUUACAGAGUGACUAAGUUAAACCCCUUCUGGUAGACUUCAUGAGACCUUGGAUCAGAAAAAAAUAUGAAUAGCAGUUAAUGAGAAGAAAAAUAUAAUCUUUUGGGCGUUUUCAAGUUGUGACAUGAAUUCAAAAUAUGUUUUUAAUUAAUUCAAAACACAUCAAUACUACUCUUGCCCUUCUAGCCAUUUCCUCCCAUCUUCUAAACCCUAUACAUUGUUACAAAAAAAAUAUAAGCAGCAAAACUGCAAUAACUAUUUAAAGUCAACUUGCAAUGAGAAAUAAAGACAGAAGAAGCCUUUCAUGGACUCACCGCUGCAUCAAUUUGUUCCACCAACUGUGUCAGGGUCUGUCCCAUACUUCCUUUCUUUGCCUUAAAGAUCUCGACAAAGCGUGGAGUGUGGCGGUCCAGGGCCUCAAAGAAGUCCACCUGUAGGUUCUUGGUGACUACCCUAUUGAACUCUGCAUACACCUGCAAAAAAGCAAAAUACAUGGUGACUAAAUAGGGUUGGGCUAGUGUAGAAAAAUGCAUUCAGAGCUGUUGGUAGUUAAAUUUUAAAUACAACAGUAAUUGGCAGACUGACUGUAGUACAUAUAUAUAUAUAUUUGUCUCAAUACUUCUUCUGACAGAGCAGAGGGGUGGAAUACUGCAAAAAAAAGACUUACGAAGGAAAAACAAAUUUGUUACAUGAUUAUAAUUUCUGUGCUUACUUGUCUCUCGGUCAACAGAGCUGGCCACCGCUCCUUUAAAGUUUUCACUGGAGGUCCUGCCUCCACAAUCUGUCUUCUCUGCAAUGGGAAGGUCUGGUCCAUCUUUGAGGCGAUGACAGCUCCACUUGGGUUCCUUUUUUUCAUUUCUUCAACGAUGAGUUUUCUCUCAGCCUCAAGGCUCUCUUCACUCUGUCCCUCAGGAAUGUCCGGUAGGUAAUUAACCUCAUACCUUCUUGGUCUUUUGAGACCUUUCAAAGCCAUUUGUGGUCGACCUCCUUUUCCAGCAUUCAUUGCAACCUCUAUACAUCCUGUUCUUUUCAGUUUACCGCAAUAGUUCCCCAUUUUGAAUUUUAAGCUAUGCUUCCAGCCGGAACACCCCAGGUGAACCUGGUUCCCUUAAACAUGGAUGAUGAGUGCAAGUGCCACAGAUUGGAGCCGCUCAACACUUGGGUAGGUGUCAAAUUUGUUAAUUGUUUCAGCAAGCUUUUCCAGAAUACAAUGCUUCACAUCUUUUGGACGAUUCCAGUACAUUUUAUCCUGUAGACAUGCAAGAUCAGCCUGUCGCAGUCUAAAUGCCACAUCCACUGGGAACUUUGGGAUUUCAAAAAACUCUGGCCAUGGCUCUUGUCUCAUUAAUGAAGUUGGGCUGUGGGACAGAAUCUCUGUAUCUUUGGAGGCACAUGAGGCAUCAGAUGUGCUGGUGGUGGCGGCAGUCACAAUCAGUGGAAUCACCUUCACAGUAGCUCUUAAAGCUGGCAAGUCUUUAAUUUAAUCGUUUGAGGGUAGUGUUCAAUGAAAUGAUGUUUUGGAUGAAGUUUUUAGUUCGGAAAAGUUUCCUGCAGCAACCCUCUAUGUUCUGAGAUUUUGCAAUCCAGAAAGUGGAUUAACUCAUCUGUAAAGUGUGACAACAUAACCAUCUCCAGGAUAUCUUUAAAGAAGCAUCAAAAUCUCCCAUGCUUGCUCCCCCUCAGGAAUAUUGUGGCCUAUCAUCAACGGAAGCAGCCUCAGGAGAGACCAAUUUUCAUGCCCAUACCCUCCAAUAGUUCCCUUAGAGAUGAAGGUCUUUGGAAUGACCUGUGGUUGGUCAGCUUUAUCAGAAAAUGUAUAAGCAAACCGCCUUAUAGCCCAAAAGCACAGGUGAGCAAGGGCACAAAAUGCCCUUGCAGCAUUAGGCCAUAUAAACCAACUAAUAAGGGAAGUACUUCACUUAAAAUUCAGGCUAACGAUAUGGCAUGAAUUUAUCGUUAAGAAAAAUAGAGAGUGAGUGACAGCAGUUGCUGUACUGCUGAAGAAUGUUGUUUUGAUUCAUUAAAAGGCUGACUCUUUAUUUUUAAUUCUUUGUGUUCACUUUUGAAGCAUGAGCUAAAAAGACACUGUUUGAAUGAUAAAAUCACACAAAGUGACCGAUCAUCCCUGUCCCUAUCCAUGUCUUGACGCUCAUGGAGGAUGCUGAGCGAUUCAGGAGGGAUUUAGAUAAAAUACUCAUGUACAUUGGAUGAAAAUCUCUCUUCUUCUUCUUCUUCUUCAGCUUUUCCUUCAUUUCUCUGCUUUGUGAGAAAGCCUUACUUAUACCAGUGAACGUUUCAUUCAUGUUAUGCACUCUGAAGGGAGCGUUUGUUUUGUUAAAUGUUCGACAUAAAUGAUCAGACUUUGUGCGGGAGAGAGUGGAUGGCUUCUCUGUGUUACGAAGCAGGCACCAAGGAGUAGCUACUUGAAAUUAAACUGUGUGGCUGCACCGCUGCCUCUCUAAAUGCCCUGACAGGCUGGUUAGCUAACUAACGCUAGCGUUAGCUAGCGAACGCUAACAGUCAUAGCAUCAAGUGAAACAUUUUAAAAGACAAACUUGCGUGUUUACUUACCUUAUUUUUCUUACAAAGAAAAACCAACGGUGGAAAACUUAGUCCAGCAGGCUGCCUUUGUCCCAGCCGUGAGCUGUGUCGGUACUUGCGGAGCGGGAGACUGACCGUUGCUACUGCGCAUGCUCACUUCUUCCUCUUCUUUGAAUGCGCUGUCAGAGUGAGACUGUGCUGGCUACUUAUUGUUGUGAGUGAGCAUAGCUCUAAAUUAAGUAAUCUUGACUGUAAACACUAAGUACUUUGUGUUUUUCACCAUGAAAGUAACCGUUACUUCCUAAAUGCCAGCAAGAAGUGCAUACUUUUGAUAACCUAGUAAAGUUUACUAAGGAUUUGUAAGUCAGGGCAGAUAUUGGAUUUUACAGUGUAGUAUAUAGUUUGACUUUCUCCCCCUCCCAUUUGAACAUGCAAACGAGAAACUUAUUUGACUUUCUCGUUUUGGACUUUGUGUGUGUGUGUGUGUGUGUGUGUGUGUGUAUGUGUGUGUGUUUAAUUUGCACUAUGUGUAAUUGUUCAUGUCUGAAUAAAAAAAUGUGUUUAUGUAUAUAUAUAGACACUUUGUGUGUGUGUGUGUGUGUGUGUGUGUGUGUGUGUGUGUGUGUGUUUAUUGUAUUCAUGACACCACAGGCAGUAUUUUCACACUGGGUUUGUUUUUGUUUUUUUUUUCGUUGCACUACAUGUUCUACCAGAAAAAGACCCCUACAGUUGAUUUCUGCCCAAAGUAAACCUUCUUAAAGUCAUCAUUUCAAGUUUUUGCUUUUUUGGACUUCUCCAGAGGCACCUAUAAGUUUUCAAUCUGUGUCUUUGUUGAUACUUGAGUAAAGACUUCCCAAUUUAAGCUUCUUAAUAAUCAUCAUUUGGUUUUUGGUGUAAAAUAUACUACAUUUCGGGAUGGUCAGCACAACGACCAACUGUACAACACUUCCAUUUUACAGAUAUAGUAAACACAAUGGAGUGAGGGUCUGAUUCAAUGGUUUUCAGGACUGAUACCAAUUAUUUAUACUUCAUGAAAGUGACACCUGAUAUUUAGAAAUAAUAGCAUUUACACUUUUAAUGAAUAUCUUGGUCGAAUUUUUAUUUUCAAGUUAUAUUUGUGGACAUGUUUGCCUUUGAUGGACGGGAGAAGUAAAGAAGACAAGAAACUUUGGGGGAGAAAAGAGUGCAGGAAAAAAUGCAGCAGAGGGACAAGGCCAGGUCUUGAACCAGCAACUGCUGCCACAGACUACAGCCUUAAAGGUCUACUGCGGCGUAAAAUUAACUUAGGGUCAAACACACCAUAACACCGAGUUAGACACCCCCUCGAGAGAUGAGUAUUGCUGACUGCUUGCUUCCUAAGUUAUACCAACUUUAGUAACGACCGCACGAUUGUAAUACACAGUGGUCUACAUCUUCACGUGCAAACCUCAACCAAAAAUCCACUCUAUAGCCACAAAUAAUGCUCAGAACAGCACCUAACUUCAUCAACAGUACAUAUAAGGUCCCAACCAUAGUACUAGCCAUCAAACAUCUUUUUAACUUUGCCUAAUUUCUUUAGCAAAGAGACCAAACACAACUCACCCACUCUCUUCCAGCAGCCGCUUGUUUGUGGGGGAGCCAUGAUGAAACGAUCACCAAGUGCAGCGGAUCAUUUCCUUGAAGUCAUAAUCAUCAUAAUAAUCAUUUUGCACUGCAGAUGUGGUAGUCCUUCUGUCUUAGCGUCUCGGUCUGAUUGCAUUUUCAUGAAGUAAUAGUCAUAAAUUUUCCCCUGCACUCGGUGAUCGACUCAUCAGGGCUCCCCAACAAACAAACGGCUAACAUGGUCUACAGAAUGUUCCCAGAAACCUUUUAUUUUUUUACUAAAAAUGUCUUUUUAAUUUUUAUAAUACAGGUAAUGAUAUAGAUUUACUUGACAACAACAAACUAUCCUUGGUAAGUUGUCUUUUUUUAUCUAUUUUAAUCAAACCUUGGCCGUAUAUGGUUUGCCAACCAUCAAUACUUGCUUGUAUCAAUGUUUUACAGUGUUUCAACUAUUUUUGGAGCUUUUGUAAAACAAAAAUCCAGGAAAGCUCCAGGAUACAUCUAGUGUGAACUUGCACUGAAAUUCUGAUAAAAACGCAGGUAAAAAUAGCACCCUGAGAUUUUUUUUAAAGUAAGAAAAAUAAUCAUCAAAAAUUGUGUAACUUUCACUUUUAUUGGAAAGUUCUUUUUCAAGACUUCUGAAUUAGAAAACCUUUGAAUGUGUAGCAAUCAAGACAACCCUGGGUGUGAAACUCACACAUUCCUCACAGGAAAGUUUUCCUAUCUGGUCCCAGGACACAGGAUAUAAAUCUUUCCAGACUUGUUUGCACUUUCAGGUUACCUAAGUGACCCGACCGGAGGUUGACCAAACCUCUGACUCUUCACGAUUGGUCAAUUCGGAGAACAGAGACAGAGUUUUUACUACCUUUCAAACUGACUCCAUCGCUGACCAUCUAAAUAAACAAUAACGCCUCAACCCAGAUCUCCAAUUUCAGAUUUACUGUCUUAAAGUGUGUGAACAUUUUUUUAACAUCGUCUUAGUUCAAGUUUUGAAACUUCAACUUUUUGUGCGCAUAGCAAUUCAAGAUUAAGCCUUUGAUUGAUUUUCAUUAAUUUCGCAAAGCCAUUUUUGAAAGUUUUCUCUGCUGCUCGAACCUCGUUUUUCUGAGUUAUCUGUGUGAUUUCAAAGUCACCUCUGAAUGCAACCCAGCAGGCCCAGGUCAUCCUCUGUGCCAGAGUUUUCGAGUGAGACCAAAGAAGCGUCCAAACAAGCAUCCACAGGAUCCACAGGCGCCGGCUUUACUUCAGGCCCGAGUGCUACAACUCCUGGCCCAUCCUUCAGCUGACUUCAGUCGUCUUCUGAGCUGAACCGCUCGAACCGCCGGUAGCCCCGGAACUUCGGAACCUGCUCCAUCUUCUCCAAGGGCCAGUCUCACUUAAGUAUGCAAACCUCCAGAGCUCCAAAGAGGGCUGAUGCUGUCUCAUGCGUUCAUAACUCAGAUAUCCACUUAUUCUGGUAAUCUUAGAUUCCUCCAAAUCCACAUCCGAGUUUAUCUCGACACCAAGUUAGUGUAGGCUAAUAUGUUAGCGCAUAUUCACUCACUAUCAUUAACUUUAGUGCUCCUAGCCUGACUCAGAAUCUUUAUUUACUCACCUAUUAUUAUUUAUCCUCAUUAUCUUGUCAUCAUUUAUUGCAUGUAUGUUGUACCAUAAUUUAUCCUGUAAUAAACAGAUAAUUAUUUUUCUAAGUUCUGGUCUGUAAGUGUUCUUCCAGAAGUGGAGUCCCUGAAAUUAGAAUUUCGGCUAAAGAUAUGAGAUUGAUUAAUUAAAAAUUGACUUAAUGUUUGAUUUCUGAAUUAAACUUUUGUUUUCUUUAUUUUCCCACCAUUAAGGGUAGGUGGUGCCCCUUUCAACGAGUGCAUAAAUGUCAUAAUUUGAGAUUAUUAAUCUUCAGACAUUUAUUAUAAUUUCAAAUCGCUACAAAUGCAAUGUUAAAAGCAAGAAGUGCAACAAGUUUUUUUUAGCAGCAUCACUCAUGAUAGUACCUAAAAAGGAAAAAAGACAUAAAACAAGAGACAAUUAAAUUUGAGUUCCAAUUAAGCAGCCCCAGACUGUGGUGCACAGAGUAGAGCUGUUCAGUAUGCUCUACAUUUAGACAGCUGAGGCUUCACUGAGGACUUGCUCACUCAGAACAGUCGUGAUGAGCAAACAAACUUUCUUGCUUGCUCAAGAAACAAACCCAAAGUGCCCUUCAUUCUGUUUUCACCACUUCAGUAGAUCCUCUUCACGUCUGUUUAUCACUGGCCCCUCUGUGUACAAAUGUAUCCUUAUCCUUAUCCUUACGACUGUUGUGUUUUGCUGCUAUAUGAAUAAAAUUUGAUUGAUUGAUUGAUUGAUUGAUCUGCAUAUGUAGGUAUGUGUGAUAAGUAGAUGUUGUGCAUGUGCACACAGCCUCACUGUGUCCUGUACUUCUGAAAACCAUGAUAUUCAAAGUGUUUAAUAAAAUUACUUAUUCCUCACUCUUUGUGAAAUCAGAGGUGUUUAGGCUCCUCUUUAAAAGCUGCUUAGAGGCAAAAAGAAAUUGGACUUUUUCAUGGUGCUAAAUUGAAUAACAAUGAGCUGAUAAAGCUGUCUCCUGACAUGUUAUGUUAGAAAUAUUAUUUUUCAAGGCAUUUUGUAUCAAGAGGUGUCAAAUCUCAUUCUAAUGAAUACAAUGCUCUGCAGUUCUGUUAAAUUGGACUGAAAGCAUCAGGCUGCAGAUUGAGGAUCAUCAAGCAUACACAUUAUUACAGUUUGCUCAGAUUUAUGGAGAAGGUCUCAUAGUACUUUUAUUUAAGCAGAGUCGAUGUUUAAUUUUAAAUAAAUGGAUUCUUUUUGUUCAGGCCAAAACACUGAAUUCAUUUCAACGUCUAAGCAUUCUAUUUCCUUACAUAUUUUAUUCAACAGUUUCAUUUGCAGAUGCAAAUAAGUGUGGUGAGACAUUCUUAACUCGUCUGAGCUUAGAAAGCACUGGGUCUUUUUCCCUUUUCUGUGCAGAUGUUGCAACUGAAGGCAGAGCUUUUAUAUUGUCAAUGUAAAGUCAGAGUGACAGUCCAAUUAAAUCCAAUAAACAAAGAUAAAUAAAGUUGACGCCUCAGAAAGUCCUCACCUGGGGUUUCAUUUAUCAAACGUGCGUAGAAAAGGUUCUGAAUUCUGGCAUGGGAAUGAAAUUUAGAAUAUGCAUAAGUAUAAAAAAAUAUGUAUUUAUCAAACGUUGACAUCGGUCGUACACAUACACGCAAGUAAUCGGUGAUGAUAAAUCCCACCUGUUCUUUACUACCAUGCUCUUGCAUGGUUAGGGUCAUUUGCAUUCAGAAACGCCUCUAACUGACCAUAUAUGGUAACAACAAUCCCUUUCAAAAUGCGUGAAUGGAUCCCCCCUCACUGAAAUCAUGGAGGUGCACACCAGGGCCGGGUCUAGAAAAUGAUGGCUAGGGGUGCAUCUCAGAUCAGAGGGGGUGCACAUGCCUGGCACGUUAUUCAACACUAAAUUAUGCAUUUUCCCGUCAUUUCAAGCGGAAUGAAACUAGUCACACAAGAAUAUUUAAAAUGUCUUUCAUAUGCUUUAUUGUAGCAAAAUUGUUGUAGAAAAAGGAAAUGCAGAUGUUUCUUACCCUGAAUAUUUAACAUAGAAAUUCAAACUAUUUUUAACUAUACAGCUCAAAACCAUCACUAAACAUGACAGUCGUUUCAAGUGGAAUUCUACCAGUCAAAAAAGAAUAUUUUAAAGGGGACCUGCCACCAAAAUUUCAUACCCAUUUUUAUCAUUUUUUCAUAAUCCUUGAUGUCCUCUGAUCAUGUUUGCAACAUAAUUUUAGCUGAAAAGUUAUUUGAUGGUUUGUUUUAGUAUGCCUAAAAAACCUUACAGGAAAACCAACUGGUUUUGGCUCAUUAACAUUUAUGGUAAUGAGCUUUGCUCUGAUUGGAUCGCUGCUGUGAAGCCUGCUGUGCUCUGAUUGGCUCAGCAGUGGAGGUUCGGAUUUCGGUUUAUCCAUUGUUAUUAUGCUAAUGCUAAUAGCAUAUGCUAAUGUGUGCUAAAGUAAGGUGCCCAGAUGUCUGUAAUGAUAUCCGGGGAUAUUCGGUGCGGCGGCGGCGGCGGCGGCGGUGCAGGGGCUGCAGGGGCUGUGUGAUCACAGACAAAGUCUCGGUACUAUUUAGUAGCAGCGCAUGCCCCUUGUAAUAACCCCCAUAAGAAUUGUUGCUCAGGACUGCUUACUUGUGCUUCCUACCUAUUCCGCUACUGUAAUAACCGUUGUUCGAGCCCACACGCAACAUUUUUGCUCUCAUUCAUGAAACGCUUAAAUCGGGGACAUUUUCGGGGACAGCUUUUGCCGGGGACAGGUCAUCCAAUACGGGGACUGUCCCCGGAAAUCGGGGACGUCUGGUCACCUUAUGCUAAAGGCUAAAAACGGCAGGUAUCAAACCAUAUAUUUUAGACCCCGAGUCCAAAGAGGAGGUGGAAGUUGAGGAAGAAGCCGGAGAUCUCAAGCGGUGUUUUCUCAUUCAUUCUGCCCAGCUUUAAGUUCAUUUUCCCGGCAGUGAACCCAAGGAAGGCAGAUGAGUGACGUGCCCUGACGCGCGCGCACUUCUCCCUCUUUCCAACUGAGCAUGCAGCAACAUAAAAUGAGGGUGCAAUGCAUGCUUAUGCACCCCCGUAGAACCGGGCCUGGUGCACACUCACAGAGCUGUUCCUCAGCAUGAAUGAGUUGUGCAUUCCUCCAGGCCACCAGGCAACAACGCUUAACAGAAACAAAUGUGCAUUGUUUGUGCAUUGAUUGAAUGAAAUAUUCUCCUGUUGACAAAACUGAAUUUAUUCUGUAAAGAUGUUUUUAUUGCAACAUGGGUGCAAUAUAUGGCUCCAAUUAUGUUUGGGAAUUCGGCGUUGGCAUAAAAUCCUCGUUUUAUUUCGGCCUGUUAGUGAUGUAUGGGAACUGGAUGUAAAUUGAGGCCAGAGAAAUUAUUGCAUUCAACUCUGCCGGCAUAAUUCUGCUUAGCAUUGGGUGCAAAAUGCCGCAUAUGUCUCCAAUCUCACACUAAAAUGUUCCAGUGGCCAAAAAUUCCAGGGUGGACAGGAGCUGGAUGUGCACUGGGAUGGCUUUAGUGCCUUUUUUCUCUCGCUCCAACAUGGGUAGUAAAUCACGGCGUAAAUCCAUUUCAGGGAAGCAGUACCUGCUGACAAGCUACUCUGUGUUCUCACUAAACACAUCAGCACGGUCUUUAAAAACGCGCUUCCUGCGGAGCUUACAGUUCUCCAAGUCCUUCAAUAGCGCAAAAUAAGCCGUAGUACUUGUAUCUGUACUUGUGAGACUUCUUUUGAGGUUGUCCUGUCACAGCUGAUUUUUAUAGCUUGUCACACCAAUCAUUCAAAAUGUCUGCUAAUUUACUAAUUAGUAAAAUUUUAUACAUAGGCAAUGGGGAAAAUGUGUGAAGUUUGAGAUUGCUGAACGCUGUGACUCCUUUAUUUGGUUCUAUUUGUAGUUUCACUGUUCUACCACUAAAAUUUGUGUGUACGCAUGGGCAGAGUUGUGCACGUUCCAAAGCACAAGUACAGGUUGAUAAAUUCCAUACUUUGCGCGGGAAAGAUCGUAUGCACUCACUACGCACACAUCUGUGCGUAUGCAAGGUUGAUUAAUGAGGCCCCUGGUGCUGCUUUCUCCUACUCCCUCAAAAAAAUUUGGACUGCUUUACACCAAAGUCAGCACUUCCUGUCUCACACAAAUACACAUGCACACGCGCACACAAUAUAACCUCAUAACCAGAACUUGAAAGUGGCUUCUCUACUAAGACUCUCCCCUCUAUUAACAGCAACUGACAAGGUGCCCUUGAGCAACCCUCUGCUAAGCUGCAAUCCUGAGUAGCAUUUGUGCGUGUGUCCUGAGUAGCCUUUGUGUGUGUGUGUCCUGAGUAGCAUUUGUGUGUGUGUGUGUGUGUGUGUGUGUGUGUGUGUGUGUGUGUGUGUGUGUGUGUGUGUGUGUGUGUGUGUGUGUGUGUGUGUGUGGAAUAGAAUGACUGUUCUUGCAAUUUGUUCAGGUUGUGGUUAGUGCUGGUACACUGUUUUUUUUUUUACACAAUACCUCUAGAUAUAUAAUUGCUAUUCAUAUAUUAUGUCAAGCUGUUGUGCAGCAACUGUGGAGCUGUGCAGCUGUGGCCCAGAGGUAAACUCUGCUGUCUCAUAGGGUUCAAUCCCCACCUCUCACAGUUCCUGCUGGUGAGAAGAAUAGUAGGUGGGGCUGAAGGUUUGGAAACAGAGCCCUGUAGGGAGGUUUGGGGGUAUCCUCCCCAGGGAUAUAUUUUCUGGUUUUCACCUGUAAAUGAAGCAUUCUGGUGCAUUCUGACAAAAUAAUUAAGGAAACAUACCAUCUCAACCUUCAAAGACAAAUGGGGUGGGGAAACUGUAUUUCAACUUAUUAACAGGGUAUUAUAGCCAACACACAGCCUACCUACUUUAAAUUAAUCUCGUAUACUAGCAUACUUGUGUACAUUCACCUGCAUCUCAACAGGUUAGGCUACAGCAAAGGAGCACACAAAGAAAACAGUGAAGAGCAGACCCACAUUUAUAACAAAUCAGACUGCAUAUCAAUAUGAUCAGCCAUAGGAAAACAACACAAACAUUUGCCUCAAAUACAUAACAAUUUUAUUACAUCUGAUAUUUCAGUGUAACUGAAAAGAAACUGGGUGAACAAGUACAGGGUUCCCACUCUUUUCUAGCAAUCAUUUUCCAGGAUGUUUUCAUCCUGCCUUAAAAGUUAUUGAUUUCUAACAUUGUGGCAUGAACAUUGUCUGUUAACUUUCUUUUUAGUCUGUCUUUUAUGUAGUGUCUCACUAUAAUAAAUUUAUGGUUUUUAUUUGGUUUUAAUCUUUUUAUACUCUACCUUUUUACAAACAGAUUUUGUUGAUUAACUGUUUUAGUAGCCGACAUUUUAUUGUGCCAGCUUUAUUAUUCCUUUUUGUCACCAUUAUUUCGAAUGAAAAAGCAUACAAGGGAAACAAAAAAGGGCCUUACUGUUUGGACAUCUAGUUAGCCAUGCUUUGCGCACAUACCAUGCUCUUGAAAGUGUCUGCGUAUAUUGUUUGCCCUUCUCUGUGGUCACUUGCUGAGUGGUGACGUCUGGAUGUUUUGGACAAAGCUCUUUUAGCUUUAGUUUGUCCUGCAGAGUUCUCCUCUCAAACGGAACCUGCUUGAUGGACAGCACAACGUUCUCUGGUAAAUCUCUUGGUAUGGGUUUUGGGGUUGCCAUUCUCAUGUCUUCAUUCAACCAGAAUGAUGGGUGGACUGGCUCCCAGUAGAAUAGCUAGCUACGUCAGAAGCAUAUUGUUGCUAUGCGUGCUUUGUGACCCGUCUAGUUAUGAACGUGCUUACAUCAUUCAAAUAAGGGAUGCUUGGGCGCUGGUCCCUGGCGCCAAAGGUGACCAGAUUUCUGUAUUGAAAUCUGGGGACAUCCGGAGCAAAGGGGGCACUACUCAUAGCAGCGCACACUCCCAGUAAUAACCCCCCACAGGACUGUUGUUCAGGACUGUGCGCAAGAUGCUUACUCAUGCUUCCUACCGACUUGGCUACCAUAAUAACAGUUGUUCUAGUCUACACGCAACAUUUUUGUUCUCAUUCACGAAAUGCUUAAAUCAGCGACAGCUUUAGCCAGGGACAGGUCAUCCAAUAUAGGGACUGUCCAUGGAAAUGGGGGACGUCCAGUCACCUUACUGGUGCCCCUUCAAGAUUUCUUUUUUUAUUUAUCUAGGAUAAGUUAACUUUUUAAUGCAGAGCUGUGAUCUGAGCAUGUGCGAAACAACAGACAUUCCGAUUCCGCCCUGACGCUGGAUGGAGAGAUAGCUAACGGACUGAAAUACACAUUGAAUGGAAUGAUUAAUAUAAUAGCAUGAUUUCCUUAAUUUGAUAAUCAUUUUCAGGUAGACAGCAGACAUUUCUUUUUGUUCACACUGGCUCACGCAGCUCAGGCGGGUCGCUGCUGCUUAAUUUAUGUAGACAACAAGAAAAACACGAUUUUCAGCAGAGUGGGUCUUUAAGAAGCAUUUGCAACGUCAUCUUCACUUCUGUUUGUGAACCUAAACAGACCUUCUAUGGACUUAUUUGAUCCGCUGCCAUUUGUAAGAUCCUGGGUCAAAGCAGGGCAUCAUCUCUUCUGUUCUUGGAUGAAGGGAUAUCAGCGAAGAGGCCUAGCCAAGGCCUCUGUGGUCCUUUCUUGGUUAAGCUAAGAAAAAAAAAAAUCUAAACUCAGACUUAACUGACCGGCUGUGAUAGACCUGCUGUGCUUCAUGAUCUACAACAUCCGUGAAGUGUGGAGAGGAAUCAGUACCAUCUCUGGACACAGCAAUAAAAAGAAAAGACAGCCAGUUGUGGGUGAUGUGAAAACAGCUGAUGAACUCAACCUGUUCUUCAACAGAUUUGACACUGCUGUCACACCACUUCCACUGCUACUCCACCAUCCUCUCUGCAACAAAUCUUCACUACAACUUCUCCCCUUCCUCCUCCAUCUCAUUCAGAUGUCUCAACCACUUCAACUGCCUCCCUCCUAGAACACCAGUCCUUGUCUGUCACAGCAACAGGGGUGAGGAUGGAGCUUGGAAGACUUCGCCCUGGGAAGGCAGUUGGUCCAGAUGGUGUGUUUCCAAGGCUGCUUAGAGACUGUGCUGCAGAACUGUGUCAACCUCUCCACAGGAUCUUCAACCUGAGUCUACAGCUGGGACGGGUACAUACUCUGUGAAAAACAUCCUGCAUUGUGCCAGUACCAAAAACAAAAUGUCCUGCUGAACUCAAUGGGCUCUACUUUCAUGCCUCGUAGCGCAGGGUAAGUCAGGUCCACCGCACCGACAAGGCGGGCCCAAGUAUCCCCCGUCCCUAACUCAGCAUCUCCCAGUGGUGUAAGUAGAAGAGAGGGAAGAGACAAGGCGUGGAGUGGGCUUAACACAGCCGAGACCUGUUUUCACCAAUCACAUCAGCUCCUCUCCUCACCUUUAAAUCCACCACCAGCGAGGCGUAUAACAAUUUUCAUGCAGUAGUCGAAGAGAUCAACAGAUGGCUGAAGACAGCAAUGAGACACGAUGGUGACAAAAAGCAGCCCUUUAACAAGUGUCGCGGUACGGCAUCCUUCACACUCUUUCAUAUAAGCACAGAUGGUUUUGGUGUGUGUAAGUUUGGACCCACUGGUAAGACAAACAUCCUUUUCCACAAAUAAAGACAAUCACAUAAAGUUGCAUAUAUUUAAACCCCACAUGACAAAUGUGGGUUGUGCGCACAGGUCACAACAUAAAUUCCAAUAAUAGCAUUAAAAUUGGAACCACCUGUGCGUAAAGGACGCAUCACGCUUCAUGGCCUGGCUGUGUUUUUCAUAGAUGUUGGCAUAAACAGUGCAUCUGGAAAGUAUUCAUACCACUUCACUUUUUUCACAUUUUGUUAUGUUACAGCCUUAUUCCAAAAUGGAUUAAAUUCCCCUUUUCCCUCAAAAAUUCUACACAAAAUUCCCGAUAAUGACAAAGUGAAAAACUUUUUUUAAGAACAUUUUGCAAAUUUAUUAAAAUUAAGAACACUCAAAUGUUGCAUAUACAUAAGUAUUCACACCCUUUACUCAAAACUUGGUCGAAGCACCUUUGGUAGCGAUUACAGCCUCCAGUCUUCUUGUGUAUGAUGCAACAAGCUUGGCACACCUAGAUUUGGGGUUGGAGGUUGUACUGGGAGGUUGGAUGGGCAGCAUUGGUGCACAGCUACUUUCAGGUCUUUCAAAAGAUGUUCAAUCGGGUUCAAGUCUGGGCUCUGGCUGGGCCACUCAAGGACAUCCAGAGACUUGUCCUGAAGCCACUCCUUUGUCUUCUUGGCCAUGUGCUUAGGGUCAUUGUCAUGCUGGAAGAUGAAGCGUCGCCCCAGUCGAAGGUCUCGAGCGCUCUGGAGCAGGUUUUCAUCAAGGAUUUCGAUGUACUUAGCUGCAUUCAUUUUUCCCUCGAUCCUGGCAAGUCUCCCAGUUCCUGCCGCUGAAAAACAUCCCCACAGCAUGAUGCUGCCACCACCAUGCUUCACUGUAGGGAUGGUAUUGGCGAGGUGCUGAGCGGUGCCUGGUUUCCUCCAGACAUGACGCUCGGCACUCAGGCCAAAGAGUUCGAUCUUCGUUUCAUCAGACCAGAGAUUUUUUUUUUCUCCUGGUCUGUGAGUCCUUCAGGUGCCUUCUAGCAAAGUCCAAGCGGGCUGUCAUGUGCUUUUUGCUGAGGAGUGAGCUCUGUCUGGCCACUCUACCAUAAAUGCCUGACUGGUGGAGUGCUGCAGAGAUGGUGGUCCUUCUGUAGGGUUCUCACAUCUCCUCAGGGGAACGCUGACCAUCACCGCAGGGGUCAGAGUGACCAUCAGGUUCUUGGUCACCUCUCUGACCAAGGCCCUUCUUCCCUGCUUGCUCAUUUUGGCUGGGCGGCCAGCUCUAGGAAGAGUCCUGAUGGUUCAAAACGUCUUCCAUUUCUUAAUGAUGGAGACCACUGUGCUUUUUGGGAUCUUCAAUGCAGCAGAUAUUUUUCUGUAACCUUCCCCAGAUCUGUGCACCGAUACAACCCUGUUUAGGAGGUCUACAGACAAUUCUUUCAACUUCAUGGCUUGGUUUGUGCUCUGACGUGCUCUGUCAGCUGUGGGAUCUUAUAUAGACAGGUGUGGCUUUCCAAAUCAUGUCCAUUAGCUGAAUUUGCCACAGGUGGACUGCAAUCAAGUUGGAGGAACAUUUCAAGGCUGAUCAGUGGAAAAAGGAUGCACCUGAGCUCAAUUUUGAGUUUUAUAGCAAAGGGUGUGAAUACUUAUGUAUAUGCAACAUUUGAGUGUCUUAUUUUUAAUACAUUUGCAAAAUGUUAAAAAAAAAAAAGAUUUCACUUUGUCAUUAUCGAUUGAACAUCUUUUGAAAGACCUGAAAGUAGCUGUGCACCGACACUGCCCAUCCAACCUCACUGAGCUUGAGGGAAUGUGCAAGGAAGAAUGGGAAAAACUCCCCAAAUCCAGGUGUACCAAGCUUGUUGCAUCAUACACAAGAAGACUGGAGGCUGUAAUCGCUGUCAAAGGUGCUUCGACCAAGUAUUGAGUAAAGGGUGAGAAUACUUAUGUAUAUGCAACAUUUGAGUGUUCUUAUUUUUAAUAAAUUUGCAAAAUGUGCAAAAAAAAGUUUUUCACUUUGUCAUUAUCGGGUAUUUUGUGUAGAAUUUUUGAGGUAAAAAAGGAAUUUAAUCCAUUUUGGAAUAAGACUGUAACAUAGCAAAAUGUGGAAAAGUGAAGUGGUGCUUUCCGGAUGCACUGUAAAAUGAACUUGGCCAUUGGGAUGGGACAGGUUGCAUACUGACUCCUGCCACAUCCAGAAAUACUCAGAUGACACAGCUAUUGUGGCAUUUAUCAGAAAUGGACAAGAAGCUGAAUACAGAGAUCUGAUAAGAGCCUUCAGUGACUGGAGUCACAAAAACUGCCUCCUCCUCAACAUCUCAAAGGAGAUGGUCAUAGACUUCCCCAGAUCCAAACCCCCUCUUCAGCCAGUGAACACCUGUGGAGUGGACAUCAAAGUGGUGACAUCACAUAAAUACCUAGGUGUACAACUGGAUAAUAAGUUGGACUGGUCUAAGAACAUAGACUUAAUAUACAGAAAGGGGCAGAUCCGCCUCUUUUGCCUGUGAAGACUCUGAUGAAUAGACAUCUAUAGUAAGAUGCUGCAGAUGUUUUAUCAGCUCCUCUCUCUUCGCUGCAGGACGGAAAGAGUCAGAAGAUCUUUUGUACCCACAGCCAUCUGACUUUACAAUUAUUCAGUAAAUAGUAGAUGACCUUUAGAGACAUGACAAAUGAGACAACAGACAACUGAAUUUCCCUCCGGGGAUCAAUAAAGUUCUUCUUAUUCUCAACUACAGUGAAAACCCUCUAAUACAAACUCCUGUUUCCUGUCAAUUUAUUUCAAAUACCAUCUUGGCUGCUGAUUGAGUCAGACUGCAUCCACGUUUACUCACCUUUCUGCAUUAAAGCUUUUAGACUUCCUCUAAUGCCAGCUGCCUGUUUAGCUGUGUGAUGUAAACAUCACUGAUGGCACACGCUGUGUGUGGUAAACAUCACACAUACCGUACAGUAUAAAGGAUGAAGAGUAGCAGGAAAUAGAGGAUAAAAACUGUAUGUUAUGGAAACAAAACAUGGCAUUCUUGUCAGUGGUUUGCACAAAUAAUGCUGAAAGUAGGAGAAGGCAGGCAGAGAAAUCUUGGCUUUUCUCUUGGAAAAUUGAUACAAUGGUAUUACCCCAUCAUGAGAUGUUUCAAGUGUUAGCUGUGGUUUAGUUAGGAAGCAAAAGUAAGCUAAAGAUCAAGUAUACAGAUAUUUACUGUCAGUAAGAAAAAUAACACUGACAAAUAUGUUCAUUGACAACAAGUUUGUUUCAUAACUUAAUCUUUGUACAAUAAAGCGCUUAACAUACAAAAAAUCAUGGCUGGGGAAAGGACAAGGAGGUGGAGAUUUAUCUGUUCUGAAUGGCCAGUGUCACCUCAAAUCAGGUGGUGUCAGAGGCUUCUGAUGUUCCCAUCGCCACCAUUCACGAUGUGGUACAUCAAGUCGCUGACAGCAAGCUUGCUAAUUGUGUCUUUGUUUUUAGCUUAGCAAGUAAAGUGCAGUGAAAGGACACACUUAACAGCACAUUUCUGGCCAUUACAAGCCAUAGCAGCUAGACAACAACAACAACAGUGUCCUCAUUACAACAUAUUUUGCAAUAAUACAAGUUAAAAAGGUAAAGAUAAUAAGUUGUAGCACUUCCUCUACUGCUCGGGUGAAAGUUUCACUGCUCUCUACUAUUAGCUUACGCAUCGCUGAAUCUGAUCAUCCAAGCAAAAUGAUCUUUGCACCAACACAAACCUUGACACUAACACCAAAAUUUUACCAUUGGACUCUUGGAAUAAUAUCCUGACAUGGCUAAAAGAUAUAUAAAUAAACAAUUACACAUACCGUGCUAUUGUUUUAUCAAGCAGGCUAUGGGUCCUCUUUCAAACUCCAACCACUGCUGCUUGGUUGGAGUGGGUGUAUGCUCGCUGCUACGACUCUCGGUCGCAGAUGCUGCGUUGCCUUAGCUGCUAACUAAUUCAAAGCAUGCCACUCCUCUAGGUGAUUCAGAAGAUUGCUGUUGCUUUUGUUUGCUGUAGAAAGGAUUUUUGACCCAGUGUUACAGCCCUCAGUAUCAAUAAACACGGUGUUGGGUUCAACUGGUACAGUCUUUAUUUCUUUUUUCCUUGCUUCAAGUACCGUGAAAUGUAAAACAAAGCAAAACUACAAAUCACAUUUCAACAUAACAAAUUCAUACAAACAGUACUUAAAUAUUUGCAUUUUCAUACACUUCACUAUUAAAACAACCACAAUGAUAACAUUCGAAACAAUUUCUCCCCCCGACAUGAUCAAGACCACAUGCAAUUCUAAAUAAUAACACGCCACUCAAAUUAUAUCACACUACCUACCUGUCUUUGCCUACCAAAGGUGCAAACUGGAUCCAAAAAGCCUCUUGUACUCAACCCCAGACCAACUGCACCCAAUGAUAAGAAUGAACAAAUAAAAUCAAUACAAGUAAAUGCUGAGCUUAAUGUCACAGACAGCUGGAAAACCUCAGUUCAACUUUCUUUUAAUUACACUUACUUUUAAUAUUUUCCUCUCUCCACAACACCCCCUCAUUUUUGUGUAGCAAACUGGUGUGUAGCAAACUGACAUGUAACAGACUGGCUUGUAGCAAACCGGCGUGUUGGUGUGCCAACCCCAAAUGUGAAUAACCAGCUCAGCUGGCCACUUACACCCAGUACACAGUUUACGGGCUCUAUUUUCAUGCGCGGACCCUGUGCAGUGGUAUUUUCGUCUGGCGGAGCCCGGUACAGCCAGUUUGGUAUUUUCGUAGACUGAGGCGCGCCGAGGUCCGCCAAGGUGGGCUUGGAUGCACGGUAGGGGGAGGUGUCAACAGAAUCAGCUGGCACAGUGACAUUUUUGCGCUCACCGCCGGCGUGUAAAGUGCGGCGAAAGCUCGCCGAUUCAAACCUGGUCAGCUUUCAGCGCAGGCAAUUCAAUUAAACUUUAUUGAUCGAUAAAUGUUAUGGGAACUGUGUGCUGUUGUAAAACCUUACCAGAAAGAACAGAGUAACACAGCAUUUGGUGACAAAAAUGGAGUUACUGAAUUAAAAAAAAACAACGCGUUACAUUAUUAUUUUCUGAAUAAAGUAAUAGCAUUACGCAACAGCGUUACUACCCAACACGGGUGUGAACACAUAAAAGUCAAGGAGGUCGUUAUGGUAGGAAAGCAGUGGACAGAAACAAUCCAAAGUCUGGCUUAAUUUUACCCCAUUUGAUGCUAAUAGGUGGAAGUACAACAUUUUUGACUGAUUUCAAGUGAGCCUUGACUCUCAUUCCCAACUUCACAAAAAAUAGUCUAAGAAGAUAAAUAGAGUCUUAUUGGCCACAGAAAAACAUUUUUGUUACUUGAUUUGGAAAAAGGAUGGUUUCCCAGUGUAACCUCAGUGGAAAAGCAGGGACAGCACAGCAGUGUUAUAUCCAGAGAGUGUGAUCUGAGUCACAAUCUGAUGAUACACAAGUUAGAGUGUAAAAAGUGGAAAGCUGGAGAUUUACUUACCUUGUACAAACUUGAUACCAGUAUUUUUUAUGGACUAUUUGACUUACUUUGUACACAGGACAUGUUUUAAGGACUAGCUACAAUAUAAUAUUUUUUAUGGACCAAAACUAGACUGACAUGUUUUUACUUGUCAUGGACUAAAACUAGCUGUACUCUAUUAAAGACUUACACUAUAAGGGCACAAAGCCCAAUGUACACCUCUCAAAAUAUAACCAUGUGUCAAAACUAUGUAGGGAGCCCCAUGAUUGGCAGUGGCAGACAUUGUAUUACCACCAUUCCCUGUUGCUGUCCCACCUCCUCUUUCUCAGUGGCCAUGUAGUCCAUCUUGUCUGGCGUCUCCUGUCUUUUCUUCUAUGGAAUAGUUGAAUCAGGAUCAAUUGUUGCACAACAUAAAUAAUAAGUAAAUAAACAGAAACAUAUGACCCUCUGAGUCAUUCGCCACAGUGUCCUGUACAGAAAGAAAAAGGGAAUGGAGCUGGACGAAAAACUGGUGAUAUGACGAGGAUAGACAUCGCACUGCUAACCAACCUUUAGGCAGAGUGCUCAAGAGUGAUACGGACACACUAACACUCACUUUGGCAUCCAGUGCUACAGCAUGGUUACUGUGUAGGUCAGGCAAAGAAGCAUUAACCAGGCUCAAGGUUAGGAGUAAAUCUCGGACAGAUGCCAAAACAAACAUGAUGUGAAAUCAAAAUUCAGUCAGUAUGGUGUUAAAGCAAGGUUUAGUUUUAGCAAAUGUUCAGUCACAAAUCCACCUCAUAAGAUUUUUUGACAAUGACUGAAAAAACAGCUUCGUGGGUUCAUAUCUCCACUCAGCAGUGAUGUAAACAGCUUGAAUUGAAUUGUUGGGAGACCUGGAGUAUUUUUUGAUGACAAUUAUUUUGGUUAGUUUUAAAAUAACCGUUUAUCACAGCGCUCUUAGAUUUAUCACUGGUGAUGGUCAUCUCACGCAUCAUUGUGUACUGUAUGAACACUGACUGGCCUUCUUUAAGUGCACGCAGGAGCAUGCACUGACUGACCCUGAUUUACAAGGCUCUUCUUGGCUUAGUUGCAUCCUAUUUAUGUACUUAACUUCCGAGAACUAAUAGCCGCUACACCCUACAUUCCUGUGAUGUUCUCCACUUCUCUGUCCCUCGCGUCAGAGCUGAACUGGGAAAGAGAGCAUUCAAACUCCUGGAGCCCAUCUCAAUUGGGGCCUUUCACUCCAUGCUGAUGGACAGACAGCGUGAGACCACCAAACACUGCCUGUUCUUCUAAAUUGUUAUUUAUGUUAAAAGCUACUGCACUUUAUCAAAAGACACCUCGCACUCAAUAAGAAAAAAAAUAUGAAAUUGAAAUUGAAAUUACUGUUUACUGUCACUUUACAAUCAUGUUUUAUCUUUCUUUUUUUUUUCUUUUUUUCUUUUUUUAAUGACGUGUGAUGCUGAUCUCUUGGCCAGGUCACCCUUGUGAAAAGAUCUUGACAUAUAAGUUAAAUCAUAUUUGUUGUAGUUAACGUUAGGUCUGACCUAUUUCUCACUGAAGAGACAGAAAGUCUGCUGAGACAGAGGUAGCUUUCAGAUAUAACUAUAUACAGAAUCUGAAGCAGGUCAGUGCUGGGAAAGAUUACGCACACUCAGCUGAAAACCUGCCUCAGAUGAAUAAUGGAGAGAAAACCAUGAAAGAUGUUGCUUGACAUUUGUGUUAUAUGAGUUUGAACAUUCAGUUCAAGGGUACAUUGUCACAUUUCAGCGCUCCUGUGUGAAGAUAACCCGCUUAUGAUAAAGACAAAUAUUUAUACUGAUGCCAGCUACAAAAGUAAACCCUGGUUUUUACUGUCCAAAACUCCCUUCAAGUGGAAGGUGUCAGAUAAUGUAAUAAACCUCAUGCCACAAUUUUUUUUUUUUUUUAAAUACUCUAUUUUGAGUGAUAGUUUUAACUGUUAAAGGUCAUCAGACUGAUUCUUGUUGUUGUCGUUGUUGUUAUGGGUCAUGACAAAAUCCGCAGAUAUCCAUAAUGAGGGUCAGUGUGUCAGAUCAGGGGGUCACAAACCCACAAACUUGAAGGAGUACAUAACGGUACCAACCAAAAUGCCCAGAAAUACUUAUGCCAGUUACUCAACUUGCUGCCCAGAGCCUAAAACCCACAAAGUUUGGUCCAUUGUGUUUCAUCAGCUUUGUACACUAUCCAGCAUAUUCCUCUGUUCUGUUCAAUACUCCACGUUACACAGGAAACACUGCUACACGUCUAAGUUCAUUCCAAGAGGAAUCUGUUAAAGAUACGCACUGCAUGCAUCAGACUGAACAGAGACGAUUGACCUAAACAGGAUGUCAAGCACAGGAUCGGCGCAUAAAUUCCAAAAUAAAACACAACAUGCUGACCUCUGACCGUAUAUCAGAUCAUAUUGAUCAAAAAAUAGUCUUUGGCAAUGGAUUUAUUGUAAACACUGAAUAACCUCAUGGCCCAUCCCUGAUAAUAUUUUCAAGGCUGUCAGUUCCCACCACUCUACGUGUGCUGGCUUUGAUUGUGGUGAAACUGCACAGUCUGACCUUGAUAUAAAACUAUCAUAAAUGCCACAAGAAAAUAACAGUGCAUCAUCUUAAUUUAUGGGAUUGAACAGGAAUUAAAAAGUCAAUUCUACUACGCACUGUUGGACAGAAACUUAAGCUCUAAUAUGUGGUUUUUAUUUCUAUGCCUGUUCCUCCUGUGCAGCUUUUAACAGCUGAUUUUUUUCUUAAACUACAUAUUCCUCUUAUCAUACAAUGCUUCUCAUUAUAUUUAACUAUCUGCUGAUUGUGGUCUGGUUCAUGUCAGUGAUUGGUCUAUCUCCGUUAUCACCUUUUUUAAGUAAACACGCUCACAGUAACUUUUCAAUUUGGGGAGCAGCUUUGUGUGACUGUUUGGUGUGAUUGCCGUUAUCAGAGUCAGUAAAGUCAGAUUACACAAACCUAGAUGAGGUUGCACCACUUGUUUGUUUGUAAAAUAUUAAAUAUUAAGUGAACUUGUCUACACUCAUAAGCAACAUGUUGUGUGCACAUGUAGUUAAAAGCACACCCCUCUUGUAGGAGGUCCACCUUUGGCAACAGAGAUGCUGAGAUGCUGUAUAAAGAUAUUUCAUACCCAGCAGAGUGGCUCCAGACAUUUUUAAUAUUUCUGUUUGUCUUCAAAUUCUCUUUCAUGCUGUUUCACUUUGAGGUACAGCCAACACUCAACACAUACGCCAUCAACCUCAUGUUCAUUUUUGCUUGAUUAAAAAUUUCCUCUCAGCCUUAAUCAUUUGGAAAUGACUAUUGACAAAUUAUUUUCUUCUCUGCCAGUGUUUAAAGUGGGAUCCAUAUCAAAUUGUAUGAACAGAUGUGACAUCCUGUUCUUCUUAGUCAUUGAUGGUGUUAAAUGUACAGAUGUGCGCGGAAGUUAAGCUUUCAAACUCCAAAAAUGGGGCUUUUACAAGGUUAGAAAAUGAUGAGUUUUAUGAUUGAGAGAAUAAAAUCUCAGAGUCCUCGAAUAUUCUUGUUUCAGGCUUUAAUGCAUAUGGGGACAUUAAAGCCUGACACAAGACACAAGUCUUUACCAUAAACCUGUUAAGGAGCAUAGGUGAAUACUGUGUGGGUGCACUACCUACAAAGACCACCCUCUCCAGCAUGCCUGCACCGACCCAGUGAAGCCACGAGUGUCUAUUCGAGACGCAGCACUUAGGUUUGAUUGAUAGACUGCUAUUGAUCUCUGCCUGAUUGAACUAUAAUGCAUCACACAAAAUUCAUCAGUGCUGCAACAACUAUCAGGCAGCACGGCUCAUCUGUCAUCCAGCCCCAUCAGGCCGCUCAGGCUGUGACACAGUGACUGCUAAGGAUGUAAUUGAGCCAGAAGGUGCAGCACACUACUUUUCUGGUAUAAUCACACAUCUGACUGAAACUCUAAAUGAUUGAACAUGCUACAACCAGUUCUAAAACAAGUCGUAAAUAACAUUGUGUGUUAUUGUGCCAACACAGUGCGAGUACAAAUCAUUAGUGGCGCAUUAAUAUCAAUGAUCAUGUUAAAUUUUGGUUGUGGCGCACGUAGUUUAGCAGUGGCAGUGCGCCGCUGCUGAAUGAAUGCAUUUGGAUUUUAUAGUUAAUUAACAAACCAUUUGUCCAACGCUGCAUGUAAAACCAAAUCUGUGUGUAAUAAAUUGAAGUCAGUCUGUUUUUUAAAGCACUAAUGUGGUUUGCAGAGCCCAAAUCCCAAAACUAUUUAGUUCAUCUUUAUACUAAUAGUUUUACCUUAAGGACUCACUCUGAUGAAAUUCAUGUUUUUCUUGUUGUCUACAUGUUCAUACGGCAUUUUUCUGAUGCUACAGGACAUAUCAUGAGGAAACUAAGAGCAAAAUUACAUUUCUGAGUAUUCCUGCAUUCAAAUUGCUGUAAAUCUCUGGCAGACCCAAUCAACAGGCUCAGAUACAGUGAGAUUUCCUACGUAGCAAAUCCAAGCUCUGCCCCCGGAGCCCCGCAAUGCAAGCCAGACUCAGAGAAAUAGAGAGAACAAUUGUGGAACAAGCAUGUGCGGUAGCGGAUAGCAGUGCUUAUAAGAAAUCUAAUUAUGACAUUAGCUUUCAUCAUGCCCCUAAAGACAUAAGUGUCUGAACCUGCCUUUCCUACUACACCAGCAAUGUUAGGCUGCAAGCUCACGUGGAGACAGUAGCGGUUCACGGGGGAGAGUCACGGGGGGACAGCUCUGCUCUGUGUACGCAUGUCAGCAUAUCAGCGGGAGCGCGGAUACGUCAUUUUGUAGUUUUUUAAUCAUUUCUGGAGUCGCGGUGAAUGAAAUCACUGUACCCGUCUGCCUUUGAUAGGCGAAUAAAGCGCUCGGGUUCAUGCUCGGAUCUUGCUACGUGCUUGAUGAGCUUCAUGAGUGAAGUAAACAAUGACUGAGGCAGAGAGCAGCUUCAGAGGAGAAACAUCCAGCAGUGUGAACAACCUCUUCAUAUGGAGUGCUUUGGCUCACACUAUCAGCGUUUUCUCUGAGUGUUGCAUGACUUUGGGUGAGAACAGAGAUGAACACACUGUCAGCCACGUAUUUAUUUAUUAAUUUUUUAGUUUUUAGUUCUGCUUUUGUACUGGCACUAUACUGGGGCAGCUGUAUACCCUUUCAACACCUUAUUUUCUAUAUUUACAUUUGUAUUGAAUGGGCACUUUAUCAUGACUGCCACUUGUUUUACAGAAAGCAAAUUAUUUGUCAUUCUCCAGUGCAGAGCCUUUACUUUUAUUCAUACAGCCGCUUUAUUUCAUUUGAGUUUGUUUGUUCAAGGUUUUCAAAAAUGUGAUGAAGGUUCGCAAAACCAAAAGAGAGCUUUCUUGAAAGCCACAUGUUUAAGCUCUCAAAUACUUUUUGAAUUUUGUUUCUAUCUACUACAGAGGCCGAGAUAGCAGCUUUUUUGUAAACCUCAACACUUCAGAAAACCUCAGGAUCUGGGGGCCCGUCUCAAAAUGGCCCUCAGGAUUGUGUUUUUUUCUAUUGAAGGAUUUCUGCAAUUGAGAAAUAUAUUAUUUUUGUUGUUAUAAUAAUAAUAAUACUACAUAGUAAUACAAAACUAUCUGUUCAAAAUUCUAUCUCUUUUUGUGUUUGGGUGCUCGCCCAGGAGUAAUUUGGUCUAGAACCGCCACUGCGUGGAGAAGUGUGCAGAGCAGCGCUGUCUCAGCCCAUGAAUCAGGGGUGAAUUGCUAAUGAGCUACUGGAGCUCUGCAGAAGAAAAGCCCUUGAAAAUGACACAGGUACCGUGAUUUUGGCUAAAAACUUUGCAAUCAUAAUUUAAAGACCACCUUAAGUAGUAAAACACAAAAAUGAUCAGAGUGGGACUUUAACUCAUUGAAUGCCAUUGCAUGACUUAAUUUUUGGCUUCGAUUUCCCUGUUUACCUCCAACCAGACUGAGACCAUCCUCCCAAAAUCUCAUAACCACUCAGCACAAGACCAGACAUGGCUCACCAAAUAAACAAAGAUAUAAGGCAAACUGAAAUAACCAGCACUCCUCAAUUUUUUUCUGUGUCAAUUUACAGUCUAUAGUUGCCCAACUCUGGAGACAGGAAGAUUGAAGAGCGGUCAUGUUAAUCAAUGUCCAGGGAUUUGCUGUUUAUCUUUAUUUUGAGCAUUUCAACUUUUAUGUGAGUCCUCUUCUACCGUCCAUGUCAACGACAUUGGCAGGAUGGCAGAAAAAUAGAUGGUGGAUAAGUUAGUGUUUAAUUGCUUCCUUGUGCUGAUUUGUGCUGAUAUCAGUAUAUUUUCACCCUGCUGAGCAGCAUUGCCCAUGCCCCCCCUUCCAAUAGUUGAUACAGGAUAGGUUGGAUAUCGAGAUACCACAGAUACACAUAUAUUACAAAUCACAUAAACGCAAUUAAAUGAAGUUCAUGUAUUAACUGGAGCAAGGCCACGCCUUCACCACACCUCCAAUCACCUGACUAACCUUCAUAUACACAUCCAUCCCACUACACUGUCUGUGAUUCUUUGAGGAACACAGACAGACCGUGCGCCGAGCCUUACCAUUCGCUCGCCUUAUAGAAACAUGUAAAAUCAGCCACUCACCAUGAAACUCCAGCUGCAUGACUCAGAUGAGGAUCUGUACAAAGAACUGUCCCAAGCCAAGUUAUCUUUUACCCAGAGAGCAGCAAUCAAACCACAGCCACGCGUCACAGUGGAGCCUCUCACGCUCCGUGCGCUCCCUAAAACAUCAUCCUGAUGGUUCCCAUCAGAUCCCCGGCCUAAUCCCCACCAAGAAGAUCUGUAGACCAAAGGAGCUACAAUCGCAGCAACCUAAUCUGCUCUCCACCACGCCGCACUUACCUUUCAGCCACCGGCAAUCUAACACACCGCAGCGUAGCCUCGCUGAGACGGCCAAUGCCGCACUCACGACCCGUGGAUGACAUCAGCAACAGACCGUCACCCGCCUCUGUCGAUCCCUGAAGACAAGAGGCAUCCCA